AAAAAAAAAAAAAAAGGAAAGAAAGAAGAAAACGCGUCAGGGCACUCGAGAGAGAAAGACGAAGAGGUAGUGGGAGUUAACGUCGUGUCGCUUAAACGGCAGCCAGCUUUUGUCACGGCGUCCCGUUACGUCCCUCAAACGGCGUUCAUUUUGUUAUGUACAUACAUGGAUUUAAUGAAUACAAAACCCAAUUUUUGUUUUAAAAAAAAACUACAUGGAUUUCAUUAAGAAAAAAAAUACUCUCUUUUCCAGUUUAAGCAAUUUUGGCAUAUUGAAGAUCUAUCUCUCUACUUAAUUUUUCUUCAAAACAAAAACAACAUACGAGGAUCAUAUAUAUUUGAAUUGUUCAAACGAAAAGAAAAGAGAGGGAUUGAAGUUGCACCAAUUAGUAAUCAUUGUUUCCACAAAAUAAAUCCAAAUCCUCUAGAUGUAUUGUUUUCGAAAAAAUUUACUUUUAUUUGAACAAUAUAUAUUAUUUUUUUGAAAUCAUUUUCCAUAGAAAAAAAUGGCUGAGGAUGUGAUGGGAAUAAUAUACACACAUCUAUCUCGUCACUUUCUUGUAGCUAGAAUUUUAUAAACUUUUCUUGCAAAAAUGAUGUAGUACUCAAACAUAAAUUUAUAUACGAUUGCUAUUAUUUUGGGAAUCCAAAAAGGAAUAUAUGUAGAUUAGGAGGAGCAAUGAUGAAAAAUCUUAGGUGCAAAUCUAUUCCUCUGUACCCUGUGUGAGGAUAUCAUGAUUAUGAUUUGGUGAAUUAGGCUCCUAUAUCAUACUUUUUUUCUUUUUCCCUUCCCGUUUUUUAAAAAACUUGCACCUAUCUCUCUAAUCUCUAAUACUAAAAAGAAGAUAAAAUAAUGUCGUAAGAAUAUUUAUAAUCAUACAAGAGAGAAAAGUUUCUUACCUUUUUUCUCAUUUUGCCUUUUGCAAGAUCGCAUUUUGUAAUCGUUUCAUCAAAGUUUAGAAACCCCACCGUUUCUCAAAUUCCAAGCCCACUUAUUUUUUCUUCAUGAUGUCUUGUUGUAUAUUUGGUAAUAUAUACAUAUAUAUAUAUAUGUAUGUAUAUGUACACACGCAUGAUAACCUCACCUCCGUAUUUUAUGAUAAAUUAAAGUGCUUUUUAUAUUAGUUUUCUUUUUGUCGACAUUUAUAUAUGUAUAUGGCCGCUAAUCACACGUUUCAGAUACUUGUGUGACGCUAAAAAAAUAAUAUUUUUUCGAAUAACCAGUAUAAAAAGAACCUUUGUACUUUUUUGUUUCAUAUAUUGCAUUAGUUUUAAGUAAUGUUAAUAUAGAUAGGUCCCUCUCUUAGGUUAAAAGCCUCUCUAGAUUACUGGAAGUCGUGCAAAGUUGUUCUACAUGACUACAUGCACGUAGUAUACGAAUAUACGGUACAUAGAUGAUAGACCCCUGUUACUAUUUGUACAAAACUUUCAUUAGCUACCCAGCAAAAAAACUGACCUUAAUUCUAACGAUAACUCAUAACUGUAGUUACAAAAGUCUGUUUUAAGUGUAAUGGGCACAACAACGAUUGAGUAUCAUUGGUCGGACGUAGAUACGAUUAUCGUUCCUUUUCUACUAGUAACCUUAGGUAGUAACCCAUGCAUGUAUCUUUUUAUUUUGCUCUAUAUGUACGUAUUUUACCAAAAUUUAUUUGCAUGGUUAAACGGUUAAUUAACCAACAAAAUAUUUUACAUCCAUUUAAAAAAAGAAAAAAGAAAGAAGGAACCUCGUCAAUAAUAGUAGCAUCAGUUAUAUCAUUUACUCAUUAGCAAGUACUCUCGUAAUUAGUGCCGUACAUUUGUUUGAUUAGAGCGCAAAAAAGAAAAGAAAAGAAGAUAGUUAUGUUGAGUACAAAUAAAUACAUUUUUUAGGUGAUGAGAGUAACUCAAAGUCAUCACAAACCAUUAUGUUAUAUUCUGGACCUCAUAUAUACAUAACAAAAUAAUUAUAUGAUACUUAUUUGAACGAUGAUAAAUGCACAAAAUACGUUUGAUAACCAUAUUUUACAGGUUCUUAAUUUGAUCAAUUUUGAUAACUUACCUUCACAAUAAAGCAAAAGUCCUGUUACAUAACCGUGCUGUUUCAGUUGAAUAUAUAUUUUAUACAGUGAAACACUAAGUUUGAGAGAAGUAUUAAAAUAUGCUUGUUUUCGAAAAUAAGUCUCCGUUUUAUAUAUUUGUAAUUUGUACAUCUCCUUUCGUUUUCUUUAUAAUUGAUAUAUCUCUGCUUUUGUUUUUUUUUGGUGAUUAUAGUUUUCUGUUUCUAUAACUGCAACUUUCUCUUAAUUCUGUACCCUAUAUAAGUAUAUUACAUUAAUGUAUCUUCUUUUUUCAGUAGUAAGAAACUUUAUUGUUUAGCCUCUUGCUGUCGUGAGGACAACGUCACAGUGACAUCGCAUUGGUCCAAAGGAAUAAUAGCAUAACGAACAUACACGUAACUCGUAAUGACAUAGGUUUCGCUUUACAUAUUAAUGUUCGUGUGUGUAGGGAUGCUAAACAUUAUAUAAUUCAAAAAUUUUAUACAUUUUGCCAAAAAGAGGGAAAUAGUAAAUAUUUUUGAGAACAAAAAUGAUAUAAAGAAUUAGAAGUAAUUAUAUGAAUCUGAUUAAUGGGCCUUCAGAAGUGGGGAAGAGACUGGAGUGUGGGUUGGCGAAAGUAAUCAUUUCGUUUUUUAUAUAUUUUUAAUUUUACUUUGCUCUGUAUAUUCUUUUUGUGUGUGUGUGUUCGUAAUGUAUUUUAAAAUGUACAUUAUUUGUUUUCACAUCCAUCGCCUUUCUUCCUCUCGCUUUAACCCUACAAUAAUUACAUUUUUCAGUGAUCUCUUCUGCACAGUUGGUAGUUUUCAUUGCAACUUGCAAGCAUUAUUUAUAACUGGGACCGUAACUACGACUCGUCUUCUAGUCCGGUCCGAUCCCAUAGAUUUGAGUAACCGGCAAAAUCGCAUUGUCGUAAUUGGGAACAAGAAACACGAUUAAUCUCUAACGACAGUAGUAUAAACUAUCGACCACUACCAGUACUGAAGGGUAUUGAUAUGGGUCGCACUUUUAGCUCAUUCGAAAUAGCUAAAGUUGACUUUCAGGUUAGGCGCAACAAAUGAAACCCAACAAAAAAGGCAACAAUAGAAUAUUUAUCGUACAGCUUACAAAACAUGUAUCUAUAUAUAUGUUCAAACCAUUUUAUAUAAAUUAAGGAACAGCUAAGGAAAAGGAAAUAACAUUUUUUUAAAUAGGAAGUUGUUUUUUUUUUUAUGAAAGAAAUAUAAAAGCAAGCGGGGCAUGAAGAGAAAUGAUGACACCAUGCGGGGACUCUCUGCAUCUGUUAAGAGUUAUAAUUUGACAACAUUAUAUACUGUGAUCCGACCAUCCAAAGCUGUCUUGUAAUGUCCUUCCUCUGUCACUUUAUGCGACCCAUCUUAAUGCCUUCCUUAUUUUUAUCUACUCAUAUAUAUCUCUUUGCAUAAUGUUCUUUUGUCUCAUAUCUAUACAUCUCUCAUUCAUCAAUGUCCAAUAAUACCUGGUUAAUUGCAGAAUCUACAAAUUUGUAGAUUGUUAUUUUUAUUUUUAUAUGUAGUACUAGUUGCUAAUUUUAUCUGCAUCAUGUCUUUUGAGUUUACAGAUCGAAUCUUGUCACGUUGGUAUAUAUAAUCAUAAUAUAAAUAUACAUGCAAUGCAAUGCCAAAUUCUUGCAAUUCAGUUGUGACUGGAAUAUGAAACAUGAUGACACAUAUAUCCUAUUACUGUAUGUUGUGCUAGUAUCGUUACUAUGUAGGUUAAACAUGCAUAAUAAUGUAUUAGAACUUGUGUAAACUUUGAAAAAAGACGCUUAAUGUUUUGUAUUUAAAGUGAACAAUUUCAACAAUUGACGUGACAUCUGAUAUACAUGGCAAAAUGGUGAUAUAACUAAUGAUCAAACUUAAAUAUUUGGGGGCACUAAUCAAGCAAGUAACUUCAAAUUCAAACAUUAGGUAAUAGGUAUCAUCAACUGAAUCUACACUUGAGGGUAAAAAAAAGAAAGAAAGAAAGAGAUAAAAGAACCUCAGCGACAAAUGUCAAAAACAUGAGAAAAAGAAGAUCAUCAACACACUAAUUAAUCCACAAUCAAGUGAAAUCUGAAAACCCUAACAUGGAGGGGUCAUCAAAUGAUUGGACAUAACUGCUCCAAUCAAAAACUUAAUUCUGAGUUUUAUUCAUUUUGGCAUAAAAUCAGUUUGGUGAUAUGCAACAUGGUCCCAUCUUAGUUUGACAUAAUUUAGUUUGCAAAAAAUUAUUAUUAUUAUUUUUUCUUUUUUAAAAAGACCUUACCAUAAAAGUCAUUCGUUAUUAUUACUUAUGUUUGCCAUUACAAGUUAUAUCCAUUUCGUUAUUUUUCAACGAACAAGUUACGUUACCCUUGUAUGUAUGUACAAUGUUCGUCUUCGUUCUUUAACAUACACAACUCGACGACAAGAAAAAAGAAAGAAAAUACAAUACAUGACUCAAGGUCCAAGGAAGGUACAGGCUCGGGCAAUUCAUGGCCCAAUGAAAAUUGUACAAAUAAUAUUGGCCCAUUUAAGAGCUACUUUGCUAAUAAACAAAGCCCAAUCAGUUUGGUCUUUAUUAGCCCUGGGCGUUCGGAUUUUCGGAUCGGAUCGGAUCGGAUUAUUCGGAGUUCGGAUUUUUCGGAUUGGGAUAUAUAGAAUCCGAUUUGAAUCCGACUGGUUUUCGGAUCGGAUCGGUUCGGAUUUUUUCGGAUUCGGAUCGGUUUUCAAAUUUUAUCACGAAUCCGAGUUUAAACCGAAUCCUAUUUCGGAUCGGUUUCGGAUUCGGAUUCUAUACUAUAAAUCCGAAACUUAUACUCUAAAUCCGAACAAUCCGACGUAAAAAAGAGGUUUGAGUGUUGAAGGACAAAAACAUAGAGAUUAUAUGUAUACUAUGUGAUGUAUUAGACCAUGUGUAUUCGGGUUAGCAGAUAACCGAUCGGAUUUCGGUUCGGAUCGGUUUAAAUCCGAAAUCCGAAUCAUGUUCAACAUAAAAUCCGAUCGGUUUUUACAUAGUAACCGAAACCGAUCCAAAUCGGAUUUUUCGGAUCAGUUCGGAUCGGUUUUGUCGGAUCCGGAUUAUAUGCCCAGAGCUAGUAAUUAAUUUCUUAAUAAAAGAUAAUAAAAUAAAAUAAAAUAAAAUAAAAUUCCACGUAAGCACGGAAACAGACGACUGACACGGUGGUCCGUGCAGGCGUGAACCGAAUCCUGUCGACGGAGGAAACCACCAACGAUUUCUCCAUCUCACGUCGUCUAAUGUUUCAUCAUCAUCAUCAUCUUUCCUACGACUUCUUUUUUCUUUUUAUUUUCCCAAUUGAAGUGGCGAUGCCUUGCGAUAGCUCUGCUCCACCUCGCCGCUGAUCUCGACCACUUGAUUCGAGUCUCUCUUGCUCUUGAUCUCUCUCAAGGUAUUGUAUGUUUUAUUGGAUCCAAUUUUGGGCUAGGGUUUUAAGGUUCUAGCUCAAAUUUGGAGUUUCUAGAGUCGGAAUCGCCGUUGCUCGCUGUUUCAUCACCCCUUUUGCACGUUGCUGUGUUCGUUGAUGCUUUGAUUGGUGUUGAGUUGUGAUAUAACUUCGUUUUUAAAAAAAAAAAUAUAAAAAUGUCGUGCUUGCUUCUGUGUAGUGUGAAACAAAGAGGAUGGAAAGGUUGUUGAAUGAAGGCCCAACGCUGCUGCAGUUGCAUAAGUGGGAACCUUCUCAAUUGCAACUCAAGCUAUCAGAAUUUCGAGAGGCUUUUAUUUCUCCGUCGAGGCAGUUGUUAGUACUACACUCGUACCACUCCGAAGCUUUACUGCUUCCUCUCGUUGCUGGUAAUAACUUUUUUUCCUUGUAACACAGUAUGCAUCUGCGUUUCAAUUUUACUUGCGUUGUUCAGUUAAUCUUCCUUUCUUUCUCACUGCUAUCAGGGAGUUCUAUUGGCAGUGAGGUUUCGGUAAGCUGUCAUACUGAAGAGUCGUAUAGUCCUACAUGCUCUGUUGGGCCAGAUCCAGAGAACAUUGCAUCUCCUUCUGGAUCAGGAGUUGGUUCUGGUGAGCCAGGUUUUGUAGAUAAUUGCAGUUCCAGUGGCAAUAGUUUUCCUUUUAUCUCUGAUGUAAAGUCUGUUGCUUGGGGUAGCUGUGGGGAUACUUACAAUCGGCACAAAGAUCCUUUGUUUAGAGAAUUGUUGUUCGUAUCUGGAAAUCAUGGUGUUACGGUUCAUGCUUUUUGCUGUAUAAAAGAUUUAAGUGACAGAGUCGAAGGCAAACCAAAUGGUGAGCUGAUGCAUGGGAAAUGGGUUGAAUGGGGACCUUCUAGUCAAAAUCAGAAAUCAGAACACAAACGAGGCUCUUCUUUUGAUGGCUCCAAGCAGUGGAUGCAAUCUUUGUUAAUUGAUUUGGAAACUACUGAAAUUGAUGGUAUAACACAGUAUAGGUUCCCUGAGAAGUUAUCUUUUCCCGGUUCUGCGGAGGUUGUUUCAUUCAGCAUAUUAAAGGGUGAUUUACCUUUCUCGAACCUUCUUUUUCAAGACAAGCCAAUACUUCAGAAGGAUACUAUGCGGGAGGAAGAUGAUAGCUUUCUCGUAGCUCCAGAUCCGACUGCUAUAGAUGAAAUAUCUCGAGCUGAUAUGUCGAUGAACAAUGCUAGUAUAAACAGUUUGUACAGGUGCACCAAAGUUUUCUCCAGCGAUUCCCAUUCGCUAAUUGGAUUUGUUAUGGAUUUAUCAGACUGUGCAUCUACCCUUUCAAGCAAUGAAAACGAUAGAAGUAAGGAGAAGCGUGUUGUCUUUGUUGCCGAGCUGUUUAGCUGGGGGUUAGAAUGGGUUUCUCUUGUGAAAUUUUGGGAAUCAAGUAUUGGACCUACAAAUAUGUGGGCAGAUUUCUGUUUUUCUGAUAAAUUUGUUAUCUGCCUCAGUGUUACUGGUUUGAUCUUGUUAUAUGAUGUGAAAUCUGGGGAUUGUAUUUCUCAUCAGGAUAUUUUACAGACAUGCGGUCGUGGAUUGCAUUGUUUAUCAGAUAUGCAAGAAGCAACUGUAGAGGCUGAUCAGCAAAGUGAAUUUCAUAGUCGUACUCCACCCAUGCCCAAGUCUCACAUUGUUGGUUCCUCAGACAGAAGAAAGUUUAGAAAGCUUUUGGUAUCCUCUCAUACACCACUCAUAGCCGCAGUUGAGGAAAAUGGUUUGGUAUAUGUUUUAUCUAUGGAUGAUUUUGUUUCCAAGGAACACCACAUGUCCGUUGAACCUAGUACUUAUUUACGUCAUUUUGGGCUUGGAAGUCUGGUUGGUUGGAAAAUCGGUGGCAUGGACGUUGGCCAGCAAAAAGUGCGCCACCCUUAUCCUUCUGGCUCUCGAGUUGAAGAUGCUUUUUCCAGGUGUGAUCCUAGCUUUUCUGCUUUGGACAUCUUGAUGUCUGAACCAUGUUUGGAAAGACAACAUAACAAUUUUGAUCAAAGAGCUGGUUACUCUGGUUCAUGGUUGAGUGGUUUUUCUGCUCAGCCUAAAAAAAAUGUGCUGAGACUAGAAAAUUUCCAAAGAGACUCACAUGUCACACGGAAUAUGUUUGUAUCUGCUGAAAAAUUAGGAUUGGAUGAUAACAUAUGUUUUUCUCCAUUGGGAUUCACUCAUUUUUCUAGAAAGCAAACAAAAGGGGAAGAUCAAAGCUGCAAGAUUUUUCAUUAUAAGUUGCAGACGCAUAUGACUGCGAGAGAUGAUAGUUAUUUGAAUUAUGUUGGCAACAAGAUUUCUAUUCAAGGUGCGGAAGAGAAUCUCAUUGACGAAUCAGUUGGUUGUUCUUUCCAAGGAUUUCUCUAUUUGGUGACUUGUAGUGGUCUUUCAGUUUUUCUCCCGUCCCUCUCAAUAACCUCGAAUUACCCAACUGUUGAGGCCAUUAAAUAUCUGCAGCCACUUCAGACCAGUAUCAUGGCAUACCAGAGAAGGGACGAUUUGAGAAUAGGGGAAUCACGUUUUCCUUGGCAAGUUGAGGUCAUAGAUAGAGUUAUCUUGUUUGAAGGCCCUGAAGCUGCAGAUCAUCUAUGCUCAGAAAAUGGUAAGAACUUUUACGCAAGUUGGUAAAUAACCUUGUUGCAUCCUUUAAGCUUUUCAUUUUAAUUUUUAUUGACCUUUCAUAUUGUCCAGUUUGUUUAUAGAUUGAUAUCUAUAUCUUAACCACCAUGGCUUGUCAUGCUGACAGAGUUAAGUACAAUUAGGUGAUUACUAGUUCACCUAAACGAUGUCAUGUGGGUUAGUUUGAUAUCAGUGGAAGCUAGCAUACAAGAACUUAACUGUAACUGAAUGCAUGGCAAGUAUUAAUUAUAUGAUAAAAUCAUGUCCACGCUUUCAAUUAAGUUUCAGAGGUCGCCAGCUGUUUAUGAGCAUGAGAAAAUGCUUGCAGUAGCUCAGUGAAUUUGUUCUCUCCCGUUUCUUCACAUUUACGUUAUGAUUUCUGUUAUUACCCUUACUGUAAUAACAGAACCCCACAUAUCGAGUCUUGAUGAUGAUUUAUAGAUUUUCUGACUCUUAAGUUUUGUUCAAUAAGCUUAUUGUGUGUUAAAUGAAUCACUGGUGGCAUAGGUUGGGACCUAAAAAUUGUUCGUUUGCGUCGGCUGCAAAUGGCGUUGGACUACUUAAAAUAUGAUGACAUCAACGAGUAAGUUGCUAGUAAUUUUCUUGUACCAUGAAUUAUGCAUAGUUGUAUCGGUUUGGUUGACAACUUCGGUUAUUAUUCUCUUAUGGUCUAUUGAAGGAUGUAGCUACUUUAGUCUAGAAAGAUUGCUUGUUAAAAGUUCGUGUAACUGUGUGUGUAUCAGUGUAUGAUAGCUCUUUCGUUCCGAAUUUUUCCCUACUGUUUUUCUACUAAAAAUAAGGUUUCUAAUCUAUGUUUUUUCUUCUCGUUGUUGUUAGUUAGUUGAGUAACUUUAAUGCUGUAUUCCUGAAUCAUUUGCUGCAUUUUUAUCGUAGUACCGAAACUUAGUCUAGACUUUAAAGAUUGAUGGACAUCUUCCAGUGCGUACACAUCCUCAUCUCAUGUAGAAAUAUGAUAGUUUUUCAGCAACAUUUUGACAUUGAUUUUACUCUGAUCUCUUGUCUCGAUAUGUUUUAUGCAAUCGAUGCAAUUUCUCUCGUAUCAUGAAUUGAUUUUAAUUAACCUCUGCUGUAUGAGAAGGUCUUUGAAGAUGCUUGGUAAUGUGACGCUGGCAGAAGAAGGCAUGCUAAGGGUGCUCUUUUCUGCGGUGUAUCUUUUGUCGCGCAAGAAUAUAAACGAUUAUGAGAUUUCUGCUGUAUCUAGGUGAGCUUCUUGAUCUACUGAGCAGAUGAGUGUUGACUGGUAUAAAGAUUUCUGCUUUCAGGUUUAAACUUUAGCGUACAAAAUAUCAAAAGCAGUGUUUUUCCUACCUGCUUACCCCUAACCCUAACCCCAACCCCAAACCAUAACCCAAACCCCUAAACCCUAAACAAGUGGUAUACGGAUUUCUAUUUUUCAGGUCUAAACUUUAAGGAUGACAGUAAAUAAAAAGUAUCGCUCUCCCUGCUUGGUACUCAUUAGCAUUGUUUAUUAUUUUUAUUACCCUAAACCCUAACCUAACCCUAAACCCUAAACUAAACCCUAACCCUUGAACCGUAAACAUAAACCCUAAACCCAUACCCUAAACUGCUAACCCUAACCCUUAACUACAAACCCUAAACCCUAAAAUCAAAAGCAGUGUUCUCCCUGCUUGGUAGAUGUCCUUACUCAUAGAAACCCUAAAUGAUGCUUAUACUUGCUAUGCGUUGCACUUAGAAUUGAAGGCAUGUUCAGAUUUAUGCAAAAGUCAAAUCAGGCUCCACUUCAGGAUUAAGUGUAUUGAUGAUUGACAUGUGGUUGUUCUUAGAAACCAGUUUUAGCAACGUCAUUAUCUUGUAAGAUUUAGUUAUGCCACGUUCUCUAUUGACUGGGGGCUGCUUUCACACUGGCAUAUUCAUCCUUAUUGCUACAUGUGUAGGCUCCUUGCAUUGGCUACAGGGUUUGCGACUGAAAUGAUUCGCAUAUAUGGUUUACUUGAAUAUCAGAAAGAUGGAUACUUGGUCAACAGAAGUCCUAGGACACAAAGACUUUCAUGUCCACCAAUUUCACUGCAUGUCAACGUUAUGGAGAAUUCAAGGAGAUUGGCAGAGAUGGGUUAUCUUUUGGAGAUCACCCGGAACUUUCAAUCCCGUAUUACCAGAAAAUUUAAGCUAGGAAAGGUAGUAUAUGAUAUUCAUAGUUUAAUACCGUGUUAAAUUUUAUUAUUACAUUUGUGUGUGUGAGAAAGUCACUGAACUUGGUAAACCCAAAUUCGUUGCAGGAUGAUUCUCAGCUUGAAAGUGUCCCAGAUGCAUCAUCUGAGGAGGCAAGACAAAUUGACACAUAUUUAUUCGAGACCAAUGAGGAGCUUGCUUUGACCCCUAUGGGUAUUAUGACAGCCAAAUCUGGUCAAUUCAUUGACGAAACAAGUUAUGCAUCUGGCCUUGUACUCCAAGGGUUUGCAGAGAAGAAAGUUCUUCCGCUGGAAAAUCCCAAGGAGAUGAUGGCUCGGUGGAAGGCUAAUAAUUUGGAUUUGAAAACCGUGGUAAAGGAUGCCUUGCUCUCUGGUCGACUCCCUUUAGCUGUUCUUCAAUUGCAUCUUCAACAUUCUAAAGACGUGGUUGAAAAUGGAGAGCAUUAUGAUACAUUUACUGAAAUUCGUGAUAUCGGAAGAGCUAUUGCUUAUGACCUAUUUUUGAAGGUAAGCCUGAACAUACUUGCUUAGACAGAGUGGUGUACAUGUUAGAUGUCUAGCGUUUGACUUUCUUGAUGUGUAGGGUGAAUCUGGGGUCGCCAUUGCAACUCUGCAAAGGCUUGGGGAGGACGUAGAAGCGUCUCUCAAUCAGUUGGUAUUUGGCACAGUGAGGAGAUCUCUUCGAUAUCAAAUUGCUGAAGAAAUGAGGAAACAUGGUUUCUUAAGACCAUAUGAAGACAACGUACUGGAGAGGAUAUCACUUAUCGAGGUAUAACAUUUCCUAUCACUUGUUAGAAAAGUAUCUUGGUUUUGGAUGACUCUAACUUCAUUUUAACUUCUUCGUUGCUUGAACCUGUGACAAAAAAAGAGGCUUUAUCCUAGCAGCCACUUUUGGGAAACAUAUCUUGCUCGUCGAAAGAAACUCCUGACAGCUGAAGUACCGUUUGACUGCUGUCAAAUGAGCUUGCACCUUGGGGGGUCAUCUUUGUUCCAGCAUCUUGAGAUUGAGUGUGGGGAGGUUGAUGGUGUUGUUCUAGGUUCUUGGACAAAAAUCAAUGAGAGUACAUCUGAGCAUGUGCUUGAUGAAACCGAUGUGAUUGCUGGUUACUGGGCUGCAGCAGCAGUGUGGUCAAAUGCUUGGGAUCAGAGAACAUUUGAUCAUGUAAGAAGUUGGAUUAGUCAUUCUUUCUUGUUACCUUUUAGAUGUCUGAAUAUUUAUCCACUUGCACCAUUCCAGAAUAUUAUUGGUACCUCCAGGUCCCAGGGGAAGUUCAAAUAGAUUCCCACCUACUCCGCAUGUUUAGCUUGGAUUUUGGAUCAGUUGUAUUAUUCAUUGAUCUGCAUAGCUUAACUGUGUUUAUAGUCUUACACAAGUUCUUCUCAGGAUUUUAUUAGCUCUUUCCUUGUUUUAUAUUACGAGGCAAAUACAGUCAAGAGGCAAUCUGUGCUUGCUUUUCUAAUAGCUAGAAUCUUUUCCUCUUGACAAAAAAUGUGCACAAAAUUGUAGAUUUGAAUAAUGAUAGCUCUCUUAACUAGAUCUUAUUUAGUGACACUCUUUUAGUUUGGGUUGCAUUUCAUAUCUUUUUACUUGAAUUAGUAAAUUGUGGGCAUUAGAUGGUUGCUACUGCAAUCUAUUAUUACUACAUAAACCCUUGAGAACUGGAAGUUGACAUUAGCUUUCAGUUGUGGGAGUAACAGUGAUAUAUUUGAAUGUUUUUUGUUUUUUUUUUUUUUGUUUUUUUGUUUUUUUUUGUAUUUCUCCAUGAAUUUGCUCAGGCAAAGGUUCUUGUUGUUCGUUUUAAGGAAUUUCUGCAGUUUUUGGUUUUAGUAAUGUUUCUUUUUGAAUUUUUGUGCAGAUAGUCUUGGAUCAGCCUUUAGUCAUGGGUGUUCAUGUUCCAUGGGAUUCCCAGCUAGAGUACUAUAUGUGUCACAAUGACUGGGAUGAAGUCCUUAAGCUGUUGGAUCUCAUUCCUGAGGAUUUAUUAUAUGAUGGAAGUUUACAAAUUGCUUUGGAUUGUCCGAAGCAGUCUCCUGGCGUAAAUUAUUCAAUUUCUUCCCGUAGCGAGUAUAUAUGUUCCAUCGAAGAAGUUGAUGCUGUACUUAUGGAUGUUCCUUAUAUCAAGAUAUUUAGGUUGCCUGCUGAUAUCCGGUGCUCCUUGUGGCUAACAACACUCAUGGAACAGGAACUUGCAAAAAAGUUUAUAUUUUUGAAAGAAUAUUGGGACAACGCUCUAGAUGUAGUCUACCUCCUGGCUCGGGCAGGUUUCAUCCUUGGUAAUAGCGAAGACUCAUUUAAGGAGGAAUCUUGUAAACCAUCCCUAGAUCUUUGUUUGUCCAUAAAGAAUGGAGGAGAAAAUGUUGAUACCCUGAAUGCUGUUCACAAGCUAUUCAUGCAUUAUUGCACACAAUAUAAUCUACCAAACCUUCUGGAUCUGUACCUUGAUCAUCACGAAUUGGUCCUAGAUAAUGAUUCACUCAGUUCAUUGCAGGAAGCUGUUGUAAGUGCUUUCCACGUCCAUAAAAUAUUUAUGUUACUAUGUCUGUUCUUUCUACCCCUUUUGGUUAGUGUUUUGAAAACUCAAUUUGUGAGAAUGCCAAGAAUCUGUCCAAUGUAUUCAGGGUGAUUCUCAUUGGGCAAAAUGGUUGCUGCUCUCUAGGAUCAAGGGCCGCGAGUAUGAUGCUUCAUUUUCAAAUGCACGUGCAAUUAUGUCACGUAGUGGGACACCAAACAGUGAAUCCAGUGUUCCGGACAUUGAUGAAAUUGUUUGUACUGUUGAUGACAUUGCCGAAGGGGCAGGAGAAAUGGCAGCUUUAGCAACUAUGAUGUGUGCUCCGGUGCCAAUUCAAAAUUCCUUGAGUACUGGCAGUGUGAACAGGCACAGUAACACUUCUGCGCAGUGCACAUUGGAGAAUUUGAGAUCAUUUCUUCAGAGAUUCCCUACCUUAUGGAGUAAGCUUGUUAGUGCUUGUCUUGGAGAAGAUAUAUCUGGGAACCUUUUUCGGACCAAGACUAAGAAUGGUAAAGCCCACCACACUUUUUAUUUUAUUCUAUGUAUAUUGAGGACUUACUCUCUCUGAAUGUACGAUUUAUCAGUCUUGUCAGAGUAUCUAAAUUGGCGUGACGGUGUAUUCUUCUCAACUGCACGUGAUACCUCACUCCUGCAGAUGUUGCCUUGUUGGUUUCCUAAGGCGGUUCGUAGAUUAGUUCAGCUUUAUAUCCAGGUAUCCAUUUCUGAUUUGUAUACUUUAUGUGCUUUUCUGAGUUGUACAACACAAUUUCGACUUUCUGGAAUUGAGGGAUCUAGUUGAACUCAAUAAUUACACUGUAACGGCAAUAUAAUCAGCUUAAGAAUUUCUAUGAAAUUGUGUGAUAACUGUGAAGAAGCACACAUAGACAAACCAUUAGGGGGAAGUGAUCACUAAGAUUUAGGGAGGAAGGAAAACACAUCAAAUUAGUUUGUACCAACCUUUACCAUAUUACAGAAGAAAUUUGAGGCAAUACACCAAAAGUGUAGAAUGGAACUGUAACUCCGGUCUGCUUAAUUAGUAGUAUUUUUUUUGGCGUGCUGGCUUCUGUCUCGUCAAUACAAUCUAUAGGUAUUUUUCCUCCUGCAAUUAGUUGCAGAUUUUCCAAGGAUGCAUAGCUUGCUUGCUUGUUCGUGGUUCUUUUCAACUUGGAGACCUUAUAUCGAGCCUCUGAUAUGGCAUCCUUGCGUUGGUUCACUAUAGUAGAAAAAUGGCUUGUAAUAAACUUACAUUUGUACUUUUAUCACUGUAUGAAACUUAUCCGCCCUAGGGAACUCGCGAGCACAUAUAUAUGUUGCCUAAAUGACUACUGAUAUAGUUUACACACCUGCUCGUUAUCAGUAUUUGAAAUUUAUCUGCUCAAUGGAAAUCUUUUGCUUAAAAAGUGUUUGCCCGUCGCUUAUAGCAGAAAGUAUUCUUCGUAGGGACCUCUUGGAUGGCUGUCUUUCUCAGGAUAUCCUACAGGGGAAUAUCUACUGAAUAGAGGUGUUGAGUUCUUUAUAAAUGUCGACGAUCCGACUGAGAUAAGUGCCAUAUCUUGGGAAGCCAUCAUCCAGAAGCAUAUCGAAGAGGAGCUUCAUCACUCAAAAACUGAGGUGGCACUUUCAUUUUAUCGUAGUCCUGUUUCUCUAACCUGUUGACGAUCUAACUGAUUCAGUUGUUUAAUAAUGUCCUAUUGAUAACUGUCAUGUCAAUAUCUCUUUUUACAGAAUUAUCUUUAUGAAAGGUUGUCAUCCCAUGUUCAUGCAACAUAUCAAUUAUUCGCUGACAAAUAGAGUUUAUAUUUUCAUUACCUAUGCUUAUUUUGAACCGAAAUUAGGGAACCGAGCUUGGACUUGAGCACUUCCUGCAUCGUGGACGACCACUCGCAGCUUUUAAUGCUUUCCUGGAACAAAGAGUUGAAAAGCUAAAAUUGGGAGAUCAGUCUGGCACUUCGUUACAUGGACAAAGAAAUAUGCAGUCAGAUGUUCCUAUGCUACUUGCACCUCUGACUCAAAGUGAUGAGUCACUUCUUUCAUCUGUAUGUGCUGGUCACCUUACAGUUUCUAACUUAAGUUUAUUGAAUUGCUGUCUAUUAUGUCAUGGCUGUUUUUUUCCUCUUCAGGUCAUACCACUUGCUAUUACACACUUUGAGGAUUCUGUGUUGGUGGCUUCGUGUACCUUCCUUCUUGAGCUUUGUGGUUUAUCUGCAAGCAUGCUUCGUAUAGACGUGGCAUCCUUGAGAAGGAUAUCAUCCUUUUAUAAGCCUAAUGAUAAUGUGGAUAUGGCGCAACAAAAAUCUCUUGAGGGCUCUAUGUUUCAUGCAGUAUCUAGUGAAGGUGAUCUAAUGGGGUCACUAGCUAGGGCUCUUGCUAACGAAUAUGCUUAUCCUGAUAUCUCAAGUGUCUCGAAGCAAAAACAUUAUCCAAACAGUAUUUCUGGCACGCAACCGGGUCUUCCACUAAUGCUUGUUCUUCAUCAUCUGGAACAAGCUAGUCUUCCAGAGGUUGGAGCAGAUAGAAAAACAAGUGGUUACUGGCUGUUAACAGGUGAUGGUGAUGGGUCUGAACUGCGGUCUCAACAGACACUUGCUAGCUUGCAUUGGAGUUUAGUUACCCUAUUUUGUCAGAUGCAUAAGAUUCCUCUGAGCACCAAAUAUCUUGCCAUGCUAGCAAGGGACAAUGAUUGGGUAUGCUUCAUGAUAAUUCUUCUUACUAUUUUGUUUCUUAGCCUUGAGCUUUUAUUUGAUCUGAUUUAUGUAAAUAUCAGAUUGGAUUUUUAUCUGAAGCACAGCUAGGAGGAUACCCAUUUGAUACGGUGCUCAAUGUGGUAUGUCUCUCACUCUUUCACUGGUUUAAGAAAUCACAGUCAGUAAUUUUUUGUACUAUGUUACAAGCUUUAUAUUUACGAUUUAUGACAUAUUUUCAUCUGUCAGGCAUCGAAGGAGUUUGGUGACCAACGCUUAAAAGCUCACAUACUGACUGUUUUGAGAUAUUCCAACUCAAAAAAGAAAGCUACCAUAUCGUACUCAGAUGACACAACCAGAGGUUUUACAUGUUCCUCCUCCGAGGAUGGAGCUUAUGUCUCUGCUGAACUCUUUCGAGUUUUGGCGUACUCUGAGAAGCUAAAGAAUCCUGGGGGAUACCUUUUAUCGAAAGCCAAGGAGUUAUCGUGGUCUAUAUUGGCUCUCAUAGCAUCAUGCUUUCCGGAUGUUGCUCCGUUAUCAUGCCUAACAAUUUGGUUGGAAAUUACCGCAGCCAGGUGUGACAAUAUUUAAUAACAGAAUUCCAAUUAGGUCGGGUGUAUCAGAAUUCAUCUUCUGUUGUUCGUUCUCAUCUAUUUUAUGCCACAGUAGUCAUUUACUAUCCUCUAUAACAUUGAGCGUUUCAGUUUUCUUAUAUGUUUUCUGGAAUAUAAAGAUGCAUACUUUUUGUCUUACCUCUAACAGAGAUCAUUCUUUUCAGGGAAACAUCGUCUAUAAAGGUGAACGAUAUAACAACUAGAAUAGCAGAAAAUAUAGCAGCAGCCAUUGUAUCUACAAAUUCCUUGCCAACGGAUGCUAGAGGUGUCCAGUUUCAUUACAAUAGGAGGAACCCCAAACGGAGACGACUUGCUGCUCAUACCUCUGUGGAUUUAUUGACUUCAGCUAAUAGUUUAAACACCUCUGCUGGUAUACCAUUUUGUUCUCAUAGAACAGAUGCUGCAGAAGAUGCAAAAGCUGAAGAUCACAGUGUUACUGAUGAUUCGUCUGAUGAGCAUGCGUCUCUAUCAAAAAUGGUCGCUGUGCUUUGUGAACAACGCUUGUUUCUUCCUCUGCUAAAAGCUUUUGAAUUGUUCCUCCCCUCCUGCUCUCUACUGCCAUUUGUCCGUGCUCUUCAGGUUUGUCUUACAUUUUAGCCCACUAUUUACCCUCUCUGUUUUUAUUGGGCCCUGGUUAUUUGCUUACAAGAAAUUUUUUACACGAUAUAGAUGCAUGGGUAUGAUGCUGUUUUUCUUCUUUUCUACAGGCAUUUUGUCAAAUGCGCCUGUCUGAAGCUUCUGCACAUCUGGGUUCUUUUUGGGCUAGAGUUAAAGAGGAAUCAAUGCAUUUUCAGUCAAAUACAUCUAAAGAUGUCAGUUUUGGGGCAUCUUGGAUCAGCAGAACAGCUGUAAGAGCUGCUGAUGCUGUUUUGUCAACUUGUCCAUCUCCAUAUGAGAAAAGAUGCUUACUGCAACUUCUUGCUGCAACUGAUUUUGGUGAUGGGGGAACUGCGGCGACAUAUUAUCGGCGUCUUUAUUGGAAAGUUAACUUGGCUGAGCCAUCACUCCGGGAGAAUGAUCUUGACAUAGGAAAUGAGGUUCUUACUAAUGGUUCUCUUCUGACAGCCUUAGAAAAGAACAGGCAGUGGGAGCAAGCACGAAACUGGGCUAAGCAACUUGAAACCAUUGGUACGAAUUGGACAUCCUCUGUUCAUCAUGUUACUGAAACACAGGUAACAAAACUUCUUGGCAUUUGUCUUAUGCUUGAACUGCCAGAAAAUCCCUGGUCAUUUGGAUACUGAAGGCCUAGCAACUUAUAAGAAAUCAUGUUCUGAGACUAUUAUUGACCAGUUUAGCUAUUACUGGCUGAUUUUCCGCAAUUUUUUUGUUUGUCUCUUGCUGCUUCUCUUGCACUGCAUGGUGGUUACUCUAUAUCCUAUGCGAGUUGCUUUUGUAGAGGUUUUCUAACUUAUGGAUGAAUCACAAUUGCAUUUAGUGUAGGAAAUAUGUGAACUUUUUAUUUGAUAUAACUUUGAAAGAGAUGUGAUGUUGAAGGAACUGGGCAUUUUCCCUUGCAAGGCUCAGUUUUACAUUCAUAUAAACUUUCUUUAUUGAGCAGAAAUGUUACUUGAUUCGCGCCCUAUUGUAUAUAUGUUUUCUUUGUAUUUGAUAUUUAGCUGCUUUGUGUGUGAUGUACGCCACUGGUUCUAAUUAUCUUUAAGGAUUCCCUGAAUGUCCAAUCUUAAUAGAAAUUCGUAUCUGCUUUACAUAUAGGCAGAAUCCAUGGUUGCAGAAUGGAAAGAAUUCCUUUGGGAUGUUCCAGAAGAGAGAAUCGCAUUGUGGGGUCACUGCCAAACUCUAUUCAUGAGAUACUCUUUCCCUGCUUUACAGGUCACUUUUCUGUUUGCCUCACUUAUAACCAGUUAAUGUAGAAGCCUGAUACUGAUACAAGUGAAUCUGUUGCUUAUUCUUUUGCAGGCAGGUUUAUUUUUCCUUAGGCAUGCAGAAGCGGUGGAGAAAGAUCUUCCUGCAAGAGAGAUCUAUGAGCUGUUACUGCUAUCCCUUCAGUGGUUGAGUGGGCUAACAACUCUGUCACACCCGUAAGUGAUAUUGCACUACAACAUGUUAUCAGUUUUACAAGUUUUAUGACUUUGAAUUUACCUCUACCAGGGUUUAUCCUUUGAAUCUUCUGCGAGAAAUUGAGACUAGGGUGUGGCUCCUGGCUGUAGAAGCAGAAUCACAUGUGAAAAAUGUGGGAGCAUUUAGUCCCAGUAUUAUCGGAAAAGAUAUGCUGAAUGGAAAAAGUUCAAAUCUUAUAGACCGAACAGCAAGUAUCAUAACAAAAAUGGACAGCCAUAUUUCUUCAGCAACGAAAAAUAAAAUUGGAGAAAAACAUGACCCUAGGUCCCCUGGCCAAGGACAUCAAAGGAACCAAGACACAAACACUUUAAUAUUUGGUGCGAACACAAAGCCCAAGAGGAGAGCAAAAGGAAAUGUCCCACAAAUAAGACAUUUUGUGGAUUCUUCAGAUAGGAAUAGUGAAUUUGAUGAUUCCUUAUCUCUUCUAAACAUCAAAAGCGAGUUUCAGCUUCAAGAGGAAAGCACGGGAUUGGAAAUAUCCUUAUCAAAGUGGGAAGAAAGUAUAGAACCUGCGGAGUUGGAAAGAGCUGUUCUGUCUUUACUGGAGUUCGGACAAGUAACAGCUGCUAAGCAGCUCCAACUUAAGCUUGCUCCAGGGACUUUACCUUCUGAGAUAAUUAUUCUGGAUGCUGCUAUGAAGCUAGCAAUGCUUUCUACACCUUGCAGUAAAGUACCAUUGUCAAUGUUGGAUGGUGAAGUUCGUUCUGUUAUUCAAUCACACAGUCUAAAUUUAGACCACCCUAUGAUUGAACCGCUGCAGGUUGUUUCUCUAUAUAUUUCUCACCUGAAUUUCAGUUGUUGCUGUGAAGACUAUUACAUUUUAUAUAAAAAUACUACUUUGUUUAGUUUUCCCAUUUUUUCCCUAUCAUUUUGUUGGAUAUAAUACUGAUUGGUAUCUGAUCAUCUAGGUAUUGGAGAAAUUAUCAAACAUUUUAAAUGAAGGCAGUGGACGUGGGAUGGCAAGAAAAAUCAUAGCAGUUGUAAAAGCCGCUGACAUACUGGGCCUUACUUUCACUGAGGCAUAUCAAAAGCAGCCAAUUGAGUUGUUACGUUUACUUUCUCUUAAAGCACAAGAUUCUUUUGAGGAAGCAUGUCUCCUUGUCCAAACGCAUUCCAUGCCCGCGGCUAGUAUCGCUCAGAUACUUGCAGAAUCCUUCUUAAAGGUAAUGUAGCAAAACUAUCUUUGUUAACUUGUAUGUGUACAAGGACACACUUAUAGAUUUUUAUUUUUGAACUUUGGAUUCAUCUUUUGACAAAGUUCUUUAUCUUAUGGCCCUUGUUUGAUUAGUUACUUGGCAAAACCCUCCUAUUCUGACUUUUUCUUUUUCCUCCUGCCUUUCUUUUUGUGGGUUAUUUUGUGCUAUGUCUUUAAUCCGUCUUCCUUGUUCUAGGGUUUAUUGGCAGCUCAUCGUGGAGGAUAUAUAGAUUCUCAAAAGGAGGAAGGGCCUGCUCCACUUUUGUGGAGAUUCUCAGACUUUCUGAAGUGGGCGGAGCUUUGUCCGUCUGAGCAAGAAAUUGGUCAUGCAUUAAUGCGUCUUGUGAUUACCGGGCAGGAAAUACCACACGCAUGUGAGGUAUGUGAUUUUGAAUCUUCUUAAAAAUAGUUUUAUUGCUGCAUGAGUUUCUAGAUAGAUGAGAGGUAAUAUAACGGCCUGAUGUAUUACAGGUUGAGCUUCUUAUUCUGUCUCAUCACUUCUACAAGUCAUCCACGUGCCUUGAUGGAGUUGAUGUUCUUGUGGCACUUGCGGCCACUAGGGUCGAAGCCUAUGUUGCUGAGGGAGAUUUCUCAUGCCUAGGUCGCCUAAUAACUGGAGUCGGAAACUUUCAUGCUCUUAAUUUCAUUCUCAAUAUUCUAAUCGAAAACGGGCAGCUUGAUCUUUUACUACAAAAAUUUUCUGCUGCUGCUGAUGCAAACACUGGCACUGCCCAGGCUGUCAGAAGUUUUCGGAUGGCUGUUCUGACCUCGUUGAAUUUCUUUAACCCAAAUGAUCAUGAUGCGUUUGCAAUGGUAUGUCUUUAGUAGCUGGAAUCAGCAAAGUAAAAGAGUUUAUUUCAUUAUAUUUUGCUGCUUACCAUAGGUGACUAAUUAAUUCAUUACCAUACUAGAUGAUAGAGUGUAUUUAGAUUGACUUUAACCACAUCUGUUACUUGUGCACGUGAAAGAACAUUUUGGGAUAGUUUAAUAAAGUUACUCUUGUUCAUGGCUUUUUUUCAUGAAACAUACAUUGUCCGCAGGUAUAUAAACACUUUGACAUGAAGCAUGAAACGGCUGCGUUGCUAGAGGCACGUGCAGAUCUGGCUGCACAGCAGUGGUUUUUACGGUACGACAAGGAUCAAAAUGAAGAUCUCCUUGAUUCAAUGCGCUAUUACAUUGAAGCUGCUGAAGUUCACACUUCUAUUGAUGCUGGAAACAAAGCACGAAAGGCUUGUGGUCAGGCUUCCCUUGUCUCCCUUCAAAUAAGGAUGCCAGAUUCCAAGUGGCUCUGUUUAUCUGAAACAAACGCCAGAAGAGCACUUGUUGAUCAAUCCCGUUUCCAGGAGGCUCUGAUUGUAGCAGAAGCUUAUGGUCUUAACCAGCCAAGUGAAUGGGCUCUUGUACUUUGGAACCUGAUGCUCAAACCCGAACUAGCGGAAGAUUUUGUGGCUGAAUUUGUUGCGGUGCUUCCCCUACAGGCUUCAAUGCUUCUGGAACUGGCUAGAUUCUACAGAGCGGAAAUGGCAGCUCGGGGAGACCAGUCUCAAUUCUCAGUCUGGCUCACAGGAGGAGGCUUACCAGCUGAGUGGGCCAAAUACAUGUGGAGAUCAUUCAGGUGCUUGUUGAAAAGAACACGGGAUUUGAGAUUACGUCUACAGCUUGCUACAACAGCAACAGGCUUCUCUGACAUGGUCGAUGUGUGUAUGAAUGCGUUGGAUAAGGUCCCAGAAAAUGCUGGACCACUUGUACUAAAGAAAGGACAUGGAGGAGGAUACUUACCACUGAUGUGAGUGAGUGAACUCAGAGAUCAUACCAAAGGAUGCAAUGCUAAGCAUCUUCUGGGGUAUUUGGAAAAACGGGUUUUUGACUGAUUUCUUUUUGGUGUUCUGAAAAAGACAUAAACUUGAAAGUCUGUUUUCUUCUUUUGUAGGGUUAGUAUCUGUGUGUAGUUAGUAUGUUCUGUUGAUGGCCUUCACACAAUUCUUCCAUUUUUGUUCCCUUUUUUUUUUUUGUCCUCUCCUUAUAUUUUAUUUUGCCCCGGCUAUCAAAUGGCCCUGUUGAGAGAUACACAAGAGAGGACAUAGAGAUUGCACAUUGCAGUGUACAGUGUAAUACCUGUCUUUUGUAUAAGUUAUAUUAUAGAAUUGCCCUGAUGAAUAAUUUUGAAUGAAUUACAGUGUACAGUGUUAUCAUAACUUAUAACAUGUCUGAUAUUGUUUGCUGAUUUGCUUCGAGUUCAUGGUUUUUUGAAAAAGAUGAUUCAAUGAAAUUAGGACAAAAUGAAGAAAUCAAAGCUUUGACGACAGAUUCGAUCCUCAAGAGCUCUAUACUCCAUCGAUUUUAAUGCGGUGUAGCUUACGCGCUAUUGGUGCGUGUGGGUAUAUAAUCAUGUCACGUAAUUAAGAAUAAAAUCAAGGUAAUAUGCUAUUUGCCUAUUUCUAGUUAAAGAAGAUUUCUCUAAUCGGUAUUUUGACUAUUUUCUCAUUAAUUCGAAGGACUUGAGUAUUAUUUUUAUUUUUCCAAAUAAAUUUUUAGAAAACUAAUGUACUAUCAACAUUUUUUUUUUUUUUUUUUUUACUAUCAACAUUUAAUAAUGUAAAACGAAGGUCACCAAAUUUUAUUUUAGAAAAAAAACAAAAAAACAAAGAAGAAGCUAAUUUUAAAUAUCAAAUGACAAAUACAAUCAAGAAAUUGUAUAUGGAAUAAAUCUGAUUAUUGGUACUUGACAAACUCUAUCACACUGAACUCUCUCACAAAGGGGUUUGAAUGUGAAAAACAUUAACAGCUUGCUGCCACAAAACUAUUCCUCCUUGGAUUCUUUAACCGUAUUGGGACGUCUCUGUGCAAGUGUUCUCUUAGUGCGCUCCAGGACACCAAAGAAGAUUGAACCUCCAAUACCUAUCCACAACACUCUUGGCCCGAUACCCUACAUGUCAAAUAUCCUUGUAAGAAUUCUCCUCUUAUAGCUAUUCAAUUUACAAUACACUUUCUACAGAUUUCUACUUGAAAACUUUAAACUAUUAUCUGUGUUUGUGUGUGUCUCUGUACCUUUAAGAGUGCAGGAGCUCCUUCAUCUCUUACAAUUGUUUGAACACAGUCAACGAUUCCUUGAUAUUGUUUGGAUGACCCCUGAAAGAGUUGGCCAAGAAAGAACAAUAAGCUGAUUGGGUUUUGGAGUCGAAGAAGAGAGACUAUUAUUAUUACCUGAACCAUUAAUCUUGUCUUAAUAACAUCAAGAGGAGUGGUGACUGCUCCUGUCAGAGCACCUGCAUAAACCACAACAAUAUCCAAGCACCUCUAAUUAAGUAUAGCCAUUUAAAUUACUCGCACAAUACCAUUAAACUGGUUUUCGCUGUAAUAACUUCAUUGUACUUUGUAGUGUUAAGGUAAAUGCAGACCAGAGUCAUUUUUUCUUAAGUUCAGCGGACUAUUUCUCAAAAAAGUUUGAUUUUUUAUGGAUCCAAAUAAUUUCUAUUAAAUCAUAUAAGACACGUCACCAACCAGCAAAUGCACCGAUGAGAGCGUUCUCAGGAUCACUAAGCUCUCUACGCGCCUGCCAAAGAGUUGACCAAAGUUAAUCUCAUGCACAAUAGUAGUUCAUCAGAAGUUACCAUGCGUUUUAUUUUCCGGUACCCUAUCCAAGGAUAGAACAAAUAGGAGAAAUGUCAAUUUAUUUUGCCAAGAAGCUUACUGCUUUUUUAUAUCCCAAGCAGAGCUGCUCAUAUAUGCAGAACUGUAUAGCAUCAAAGGGCAAAUCUCGCAAAAGGAAGGACCGAUAUCCCUGAAAGCGAUUGAAACAAAUUACCACAUUAAAAUUCAACAAAAACGUGCAGACUAAAAGCAAGAUCUUAAAAAGAUGUUACUAACUGCAUAUAGACCCUUAAAUCCCUCUUUUGAUGCGAUAAGCCGAACAGCAUUGGGGGCUGAUGUAAACUGUCCGGUCUGCAUUCUUUGCUUCACAACCUAAUAAAUACACAAUAUAAAUGUGGACCGAGGGAUUCAGUGUAGAACAUGAUCUGGAUUCUGAUAUCCAAGAGGGAGUUUUUACCUCUGUAGGAACUCGAAUAAGAGAGGCAGCAAGUCCACCGAUGGCCCCUGCAGUCUGGAGUUUAAAAUAAGGGAACAAAUUAUUCCUUUUCACUCUGAUAUACGAAGCGUAUGUGAGAAACGGUUUAAAUAUCAAAAAAUUUAUUGAUGCUUAUUGUUACCAUUCAUUUAUUGAUAUAAUAAUCUAGUGAAAACAGAGACUGAUAAAAUACUUUUUCAAUAGCCAGACUAGAGAUGAAGCAAAUCUCUCACCAGGUGAGCAACUGCGCUUAAAUGAUCAGGAAAGGUCUUUAGCAGUUUCUGCUUUGUGGGUUCGUAAACUCCAACAAAUAAAGCAGAAGCCCUACGAAGAAACAUUGUUAAAAUAAUCAAGCGUCAAAACAAGUCGGAAAAUAGGAGAAGUAGGAAAAGAUAGGAAACAAUUUUGUCUAUUUGGGUUCUCGCCAUUUAGGCUCUUUAAGAAGAAGCCAGACAAUCAUAAUCUAUGGUUGCUGCAUCAUGCAUCACCAAUGUCAAGUGGGCAGAGAGAUAGUGAAAUAACAAAAGUAAAUAGGUCACUUACGGUAAGACACCAGCAAUAUUUCCAGCUAAUCCUGAAUAAAGACCCUUCAAAACAAUUUUCCCACCUCCACGAGCUGCCUACAUCAUAUGAUCAAAACUCAUUAGGAGCUUAAGUUCAAUAUUCUAUUUCGCCGUUAAAAACCAAAGGACUACAGGGGCUAGUAGCAUACAUAUAAAAGCAAGUCUAACAAAGAACUAAAAUGAAAAAAAAAGUUUCUUAACCUGCCUGAAGUCUUGUCUUAAUUGUAUCAAUUGGGUAUAAAGCUGUUUCAACUACAACUCCAGCUGUACCUCCUGCUAUAAAUCCCUCUGCAUCAUCAAAACAACACAUAAGAAUAACAAGACUUAGACAGCUGAAGCUGCCGAUCUCAGGAAACAUGGUCUAAUCAUGAGGGCAGUAUUUCAAACUCAGUGAGCAUAAAAAGAAUUUUUUUUUUUUUUUUUUUCAGAUACAAUGACGUAUAUGAUACAGAAGAUGAAAUUCAGAAAAUUGCGAUUGCAAAAAUGAAACCAAAAGAGUAAGUAGGGAAAGGCAAAAUAGACACGAACCAAAGAGAGUGCGGAAGAAAUCCAAAGGUUUGUCUUCUUGGGCAUUAACAGAUGCAAAGCCUUUGCUCGUUUUGAACUGUGGACUCUGCAUUGUCCUCUUCGAAACAUCUGCAACAAUAAGUAAAACCAAUACGCAAAGGAAUUGAAAAAAGAAAGACUUGACAGUCAAUAAAUGAACACAGACAGUCAAAGCGGAUUUUACCAAGAGAAGUCGUUGAAGAGCUCUUCACAUCAACAGAGAGAGUAAGCGGAGCCAUCGGAAACGCCUUUCACCUAAUUUCACCAAACCAAUUUCACUCAUUCUCUUUCUUUGCAGCGAAACGCAAAACUAGUCAAGUAAGUGAAGCAGCAACAAUAUCCAAUUAUACAUACAGAAAAAAGCGCAUAAAUGUAAUGAGUGUGGCGUUAGAGAUUACAGGAAGAUACGAGAGAGGCACGAAGUGUAAGCAAGAAAGAGAGAGUUCACCAACACGAUAUUUUGCUCUCCUUCCCACAAAGGUUCUCAAAACGAAGAGAUUAGACGAAGCUUUCUUCUCUCUUCUGUUUACAUACAAUUCUGUCUUUUAACCCUGAAUGGGCCUAAAAGGACCCACUAGGCUAUUAUUAAGCCCGUCACUAAUUUCUUAGUCGGUAAAUUGCAUAAAAAACGUGGUUAUAGUUUAGAUUAUUUAAAUCUGCAUCAAAAAACAACAAAAUUGGGAAAAUAAUAAUUUAAUUUUAGCAUAUACUUUUUGUAGUGAUAUACUUUUUUAAAUGACACGUCAUAAGGCGACGAAAAAAAAAAAAAAAAAAUGACACGUCAUAAUAAUUAAAAAACAGUACCAAUUAUUGAACUAACUUUAUUUAAAAAAAAGCCAUAUAUGUAUAUCCUGCUUUUUGAACAAAAAAAAAAUGUACAGUAAAACCUCUAUAAAUUAAUCAUGUUGGGACCUUAGAAUUUUAUUAAUUUAUAGUGAUAUUAAUUUAUCUAUAAAUUAAUAUUUCUUAUUUUAUAGUGUAAAUUAAUAAUUAUUAAUUUAUAGUGGUAUUUUCACUCUUAAAGUUCUUUAAAAUUAUGAAUUGGGACAAUUUUACAAAACAAGAAUAGUUUUUAAGAUUAUAUAAAUUUUUAUAGUUUCGAAUUGAAUUCUAUAUUUAUAAGAAAAUAAAAAUGAAUUCAAAAUAUUAUAAAUAAAUUCCUAUCUAUAAUACAAAGUACAUACAUAAAUUCAAAUUUAUGUUUAAUACCUCAAUUGUUAACUUUUACCAUCCUAUAAAACAAACAAAAAUGAAUAUGAUGCAUAUUUAUAAAUAGAAAACAUUAGAAAAUUUUUGUUUAUUUUAUGAUGUUAUGGAAUUUAUUAGAAAAUUAUAGUUUAAAAAUAUAAUAUAAUUUUUUUUAUAGAUAUGAGGGAUAGGAGAAAUUCAUUUUUAGAAAAAACUAAAAGCAUAUUUCAACAUAACUACUUAUAUCACACAUAUAUAUAUAUAUAUAGAUGUAUAUACAUAGUGAUUAUUAAUUUAUGAUAUUAUUAGGACUAUAUUUACAUAGGGAUUUCAAAAAAAAUUAUUAUCUUAUCGAAUAUGGUUAAUUUUUACAUUGGCCCGACUUGGGACUAGCAAAAUUUAUUAAUUUAUAGUGUUUAUUAAUUUAUAGAGUAUUAAUUUAUAGAGGUUUUACUGUAUAUCCUGCUUUUUUCUACAAUAAUGACAACUGACGAGUGGAUGAAAUUGUGAAAAAGAAGUAUCGGCAAUCGAGCGACAUAUAGAAGCAGGAAAAAAAAAAGUACCUAAUUUGAAAUUUUAUACACAUGUCAAAAAAAAGUUACAACCUUUCAUGUCUGAUUCUGCACUUGAGAGAAGCCACAACAUGACUCUAAAACCAAAGUGUCUUCUUCUAGGUUCUCCAAUGCAGCCACUGACUCUGCCUGCUCGAGAUCGUUUUUUUUUUUUUGUCGUUAAACCCGUCACAGGUUAACAUUCAUACCCGAGAUUCAUCAUAAGAAACUGUCAUGUAAAUGCAACAAGACCAAAUUGUGAUGACAUGAGUGGCACUCCAAAAACCAAGAAGAAAACUUCUAACUACUGAUAAAGCAUUGAGUAGGAUGAAAUUUGUUACCAGGAUAUUGAAAAUUAGCUAUCCAUGGUUUAUUUCCCCUGAGCAAAUUUAGCUUUGAAUGUGUUUUGAAGUCGUUCUCGAGAUUUGGCUUGAGCAGCCAAUGCAACAUCGUCGAGGAAUCCCUUUUGUGGGAAUUCUUCAGGUACAAGACUCCAAUAGAUCUCAAACUGUUGAGCUGCUUCUUCCUUUUUAUCCAUUAAACUAUAAACUAUGCCCUGAAACCAAUUCUUGCAAUUUCUUUAAACUAGUAUAGCGAAAGAGAAGCCUAAAAUUCUUUACGCCUUAGAGAUGAAUUCAGCGAAUCAAAGACCAUUCUUUUCAUGAAUAAACUUACCUGGCAAAGGUAAGGUCGGAAAUCUCGAGGGUUAUCAUUUACCAUCUGUUGAAAUAUCUUUAGACCUUCUUCAAAUUGACCCUGAGGUUUUAAACCAAUUUCCAUAAGAACAGACAACAAGCUAUUAUAUCGAUACAUAGUUCAAAAGGACAAGAAGGAACUUAAGGAUUGGUUUUGCAUCGGUUUUACCUUGACAAUAUGCAUUUGACCAAUCAAGACUUGUAUGUUUCUCUCCUCAGUUACACGGUUUCCUCGUCGAGCAACUUCCAUAGCGUCCAUGAGCAUAUCAAAGAGAGAGGAGUCAUGAGUCUUAUGCAUUACCAUUGCAAGACCCUGCAAGCAGUAAGACAAUACCAAACGUAAAUCCUUUUGGGAGGAGUAAUCAAUUUAAGAUGCUGCAAUAUCGAAAUCAAGGCACUAUUCUGUUACCUACCAACGAAAAGAAAAACCAUUUCUCCUAAACAUACACUUAAAUCACAGUUUCAUUGAAAUACUGUAGUCUUAGAGAAGCUUCAAAAGGUGAGAAACACAUACGUGCAAAGCUCUGAUCAAAAGAGGUUGUUCUUUGAGAAUAUCCUUGAACAAUCUCUUAGCUUUGCUCAAUUGUCCCAUUGUCUCAUAGCAAAGCGCUUCUAAAAGCUUCCAUUCAAUUUCAUGAGGCUCUAAUUUCAUUAGCUUCUCAACAUACUUCACAGCAUCUUCAGUCUUCCCUCUCCUCAUCUUCUUAUACAAAACAGCCUUCAUAGCCUCCAUGUUCUCUGGCUCACUCUCCAGAAGCUUCUCGAACAUUAUCUCGUCCUCUAACUCCGCUUGAGAGACCACAGUUGCAGCGGGUAGUGCAAAAGCUGGCUUCGAAGAACAGAACCCUAGAAAGACAAACGACCCAACAAGUAAAAUCGCGGCUUUUCUCGCCAGAGUCUGAACGGAGGAAUGAAGAGACGUCGAAGAGCGUAUUAGAGGAAGAUGUGAAAAGGGCGAAGCGAAAUUGGGGUCGGAUUGGGCGAGUUUGGGAGCGAAAUCUCGUGAAUUUCUCCUCCGAAAUUGGAACCCAUUUGGAUUACGCAGAUGGGUCGGAGUAAAAAUCUGCGGUUGUUCCCGGCGGUGAUGAAAUUUAGCCGGAGAACAAAGAGCUAAUACUCCGAUUGAACACAUCCUGCGUCUUCACCGAGCGUCUUGUAAUUUUUGUCUCAUUUACCCUUAGGCCAUCCUUAACAGUAUAUACUCUUGUGUCUUAGAGUAUUAAAAAAAUUAUAAAAUAAUAAAACAGUGGUAAUAAAUGUAGCAAGCGAGUCUUCAGAUGUUUUCUGGGUGAGAUGUUAGUGGGAUGUGGCAAGCAGUGAUUGGUUCCCAUUAAAAUAUAUUCAUUUUUAAUAUUUUUUCCAUACUAUUUAAUAUUUUAAUAUUUUUUUAAUUUACAAGUAGUAAUUAUUUUAAUACUUUUUUUCUACUAAGAUAUAUCUUUCAGUUUAUCCCUUUAAAGAUGCCCUUAGAGCAUGAUUAUCAAGGGGUUUUAACAAAAUCUUAAGUUAAGAAAAGUACAAAAAAACUAAGAAAAGUGAUUAAAUAUCUCUUAUACAAGAGACAUAAACUAACUUUUCUUACCUUUUCUUAACUUUUUUUAGCUUAAGAUUUAUUUAAGAACCCCUUGUUAAUGAUGGUCUUAGUGUGAAAAAAAACACCUUUUUAAGUAAUCACAAAAGAAAUUAUAGUAGACGGUUUACUGUAAACCAAAUCUAUACCACCUCACAACAUUGACAUCAAAUCAUCACUACAGACGGUACAUUGGCUAUUAACAAAAUCAUUAUUUGGACUUGGAAGUUCAUUGUUUCAAUAACAUUCUGAUAGAAUUACAUGGCCUGAAGCAUCAUCUUAGGCCAUGGGAGAACGUGCCAACGAACUGAUCCAAGGACCAUGGAACCUGAAUCUGCCAAACUAGGUCAGUACACACUAGACAUCACAUACGUCACUGUCAAACACCACCAGCUACGCAAUCUUGACAUCUCAAUUAUUGUUGCUUUCAAAUCAAUUAUUACGAAAGAUACAGAUGCAGUUCGAAGUUCGAACAACAACUACAUGAUAUGUUGAAAGCUAUCAAGCUAAGAAAAUGAAUUUAUCUUAUAUAAUAUGUUCCGUUAAAGCUAUUUAAUGUUUCUCUGUUUCUGUGAUGUGUUUCACUGCUAUCGGAUCCCAGUUUAACUAACUAGUAGGCGAUUUUAUUAACUAAUUAUUAUUGUCUUAUGCUGGGGACAAAUAACUAAUUAUCGUAAUAUGUCGCAUGCAGUGGAUCAUUGUUUUCAAAUGGGGUUUUGACUUCCCAGAAAGCUAAGAUACCAAACAAACACAAGAGGACAUAAUCACCAAAGAUAAGGUACGACCUCAUCUACAUCGUGUAUAUCAUUAUUGAAACGACAAAGACAAAUAACUAAUAUCUAGGACAACACAAGAUGAAUUAUGCUUUCUUGUUUAUACUCAUAUUUAUGUUAUCUCCUUAGUGCAUGAAUGAAAACAUAAAAAACAAUCAAAAACUUCACCUUAGUGUUAUCUCCUAUAAUUCUCCCUAAUGGCUUUCGCAAGCUUACUCGAAAUCUCCAUUGCUUUCUUCUGUUUCCUUAUCUUUCAGUUUUUCUUGAUCAUCAGCAAGAAACCGCACCGUUCCUUUCUCACAAACUGGCCGUUCCUCGGUAUGCUUCCGGGUUUACUUACCCAACUCCCACGUGUUUACGACUUUCUAACCGAGGUUCUAGAGGACGCCAACUUAAACUAUCUUUUCAAAGGUCCUUUUUUGGGGGGAAUCGACAUGUUGUUCACCGUUGAUCCCGCUAACAUCCACCACAUUAUGAGCUCAAACUUUGCAAACUACCCGAAAGGAACCGAAUUCAAGAAGUUAUUUGACGUUUUGGGGGACGGAAUUUUCAAUGCGGAUUCGGAGUUGUGGAAGGAUCUGAGAAAAUCUUCUCAGAGCAUGAUGAGCCAUCCGGAGUUUCAAAGGUUUACAUUAGAUACAAGCUUGAGUAAGCUAGAGAAAGGGCUUGUGCCACUUCUUGAUCAUGUUGCUAAAGAGAAACUCGUCGUGGAUUUACAAGAUGUUUUCCAAAGAUUCACGUUUGACACUACGUUUGUUUUAGCAACCGGGUAUGAUCCAGGUUGUCUCUCGGUUGAAAUGCCAGAAAUCGAGUUUGCAAGAGCGUUAGACGAUGCAGAGGAAGCCAUUUUCUACAGACAUGUCAAGCCGGAGAUGGUGUGGAAGAUGCAAAGACUGAUUGGGGUUGGAGGUGAGUUAAAGCUGAAAAGAGCUCACGCGAUUUUGGAUCGUGUUUGCUCUGAGUGCAUAGCUUCUAAGAGAGAGGAGAUCAGCCGAGGGAGUGAUAAUAUCAGUUCUUCUUCUAAAGAUUUGUUGAUGUCUUCUAUACAUGUUGACACUAGCAAGUACAAGUUGUUGAAUCCAAGUGAUGACAGAUUUCUUAGAGACACAAUCUUGUCCUUCAUGUUAGCUGGUAGAGACACGACAGGAUCAGCACUCACUUGGUUCUUCUGGCUUCUAUGCAAAAACCAAGAAGCCAUGGCCAAGAUUCGUCAGGAAAUCAACACAAACCUAUUUCCAGGAAACAAGAUUGACGGUUCUGUUUCUUAUGAUUCUGAUUCAUUCAACCCCCAAGAGAUAAAGAAGUUGGUGUAUUUGCAUGGCGCAAUCUGUGAAUCCCUCAGGCUCUAUCCACCUGUUCCCUUUCAACACAAGUCUCCUACUAAACCUGACGUUCUUCCAAGCGGCCACAAAGUCGAGGCCAAAUCGAAGAUUUUGUUCUGUCUUUACUCGUUAGGGAGAAUGAAAUCGGUUUGGGGAGAAGAUGCGUUAGAGUUCAAACCAGAGAGAUGGAUUUCUGAGAGCGGAAGGUCGAUACACGAGCCAUCUUAUAAGUUCUUAUCGUUUAACGCCGGUCCAAGAACUUGUUUGGGGAAAGAAGUGGCUAUGACGCAAAUGAAGACAGUGGCUGUGAAAAUCAUACAAAACUAUGAGAUUCAGGUCGUUGAAGGGCACAAGAUCGAGCCAGCUCCGUCUGUUAUCCUGCACAUGAAGCAUGGUCUUAAAGUCACAGUCUCUAAAAAAUGUUGGGUCUGAAUGUAAAGUAGAAACUAUGACGUGAUGAGGAAAUCUCAUGGUCAGCAAAAAAGUCAUACAAUCCCUAAAAUAUAUAAUUAUUGUUAAACAUUAAUUUAUAUUAACACAUAAUCUAAAUGUACGUUGUGUCUACUUUAAGAUGUGGGAAGUAUAGCGGUAUGUAUUCUGUAUUCAAUAAACUAUUUUCAUCACUUGUUUAUUUCCUAAUCGAUCUAUCUAUCAUGGAAUACAUAAUAUCUCAGGGAAUUUAGUUCAACCAUACUUUUUACAUAUAUAUCUUUUGAAAAAUAGAGAUGACAAAGGAAGACUGUGGAUCAUUUUUAAAAUUACAUAUAUACGAGAUGAUCAUUACAUGUAUAGUUAUAUAAUACAGAUUAGCCAAAAACAAAAAUUAUGGCACAUUAUCUAUAUAUUUAAUAGGAAAGUUUGACUAGAGAUAAUUAUUUUGUUUAAAUUUUGGUUUUUUUUUUGGUAUGACAGAUAUAUAAUCUUCUUUCAUUAUGGUAUAGUUUAUAAAUAUUUGUUAAAAAUACUUAACCAAUUCAUUACAGAUUCGAAAAUUUGAAAACUGUAGUAGAAUCAGAGAUCUAGUCAAUAUGUCUCAAUUAAAAAAAUUACUGUAUUUCUAGAAAAGAAUAAUCUAAAACGAGAUAGAUGCAUCUGAUUUAGUCAAAUUUAUUGACCUUUUAAAGUAACUAAGAAUAUAUAUCUAUAAUAGCCAGAUUUUUUUAGUAAUAUCCAGAUCGAAACAAAAUAAACUUGAUUAUCUGAAAAUCUAUAUUAAUACGUAUGCACGAUAUGUGUUUUGUGGAAAUAUUUAUAAAUUAUGUAAACUGUAAAAUGUUAUUAUAUUAGAAAAUGACUAAUUGGGUAAUAAUAUAUCACAUGCAUUGGUUUCCGAAAGAUUAUUAGACUUAUUACAAAGAUAUAAUACCAAACAAAAUAAAAGAGGACAUAAUCAGCAAAGAACGUAAGAUUCUAUUCCAUUUUGUAAUUAUUCAGAGGACAAAGACACAUCACCGAUUUCAAAGACGCUGCCCAAAGGAAAUGCUUUAUAUAUCCUACAUGAGAGCAAACUCAAGAAUCAAGCUGCAAAUACUGGUGAAUCUCAAAAGGAGAAAAAAACACAUUUUUAAUCUUAUCUCUAAUGGCUUUGAUUAGCUUGUUUGAAAUCUCCAUUGCUUUCUUUUGCUUUCUCCUCUUCCGAUAUUUCUUGAUCAACAAGAAACCUCACCGUUUGUGUCCAACAAACUGGCCAUUCUUGGGUAUGAUUCCAGGUUUGCUGGUCGAGAUCCAUCGUGUUUACGACUUUGUAACCGAGGUUCUCGAGGUCACAAACUUAACCUAUCCUUGUGUAGGCCCGUGUUUCGCGGGCCUAGACAUGCUGAUCACGGUUGAUCCUGCUAAUAUCCACCACAUCAUGAGCUCAAACUUCGCAAAUUACCCCAAAGGUCCCGAAUUCAAGAAGUUAUUCGACGUUUUGGGAGAUGGGAUUUUCAAUGCAGAUUCGGAGUUGUGGAAGGAUCUGAGGAAGUCAGCCCAAAGCAUGAUGAUGAACCCCGAGUUUCAAAAGUUUUCAUUAGCUACAAGCUUAAAUAAGCUAGAGAAAGGGCUUGUCCCACUUCUUGACCAUGUAGCUAAAGAGAAGCUCGUCUUGGACUUACAAGACAUGUUCCAACGAUUUACGUUCGACACUACGUUUGUUUUAGCGACCGGGUAUGAUCCAGGUUGUCUCUCCGUGGAAAUGCCUGAAGUCGAGUUUGCAAGAGCUUUAGACGAUGCAGAGGAAGCCAUUUUCUACAGACAUAUCAAGCCGGAGAUCUUGUGGAGGAUGCAGGGCUUGGUUGGGUUAGGAGAUGAGAAGAAGAUGACGAAAGCUCGCACGACUUUAGAUCGUGUUUGCUCCGAGUGCAUAUCUUCAAGGAGAGGUGAGGUAAGCCGUGGGAUCAACAAUGUUGAUUCUCCUUCGAAAGACUUGUUGACGUCUUACAUGAACUUGGACACGACCAAGUACAAGUUGUUGGAUCCAAGUGAUGACAGAUUCCUGAGAGACACAAUCUUGACCUUCAUGUUAGCGGGUCGGGAUACGACAGGAUCUGGACUCACUUGGUUCUUCUGGCUUCUCUGUAAGACCCCAGAAGUCAUGGCCAAGAUUCGUCAAGACAUCAACACAAACUUGACCGAUGGUUGGGGAUCUGGUGUUGAUUCCGAUUCGUUCAAUCCCCAAGAGUUAAAGAAGUUGGUGUAUCUACAUGGAGCGAUUUGUGAAGCCCUCAGACUCUAUCCACCUGUUCCCUUUCAGCACAAGUCUCCUACUAAACCGGACGUUCUUCCAAGCGGACACAAAGUCGACGCCAACUCUAAGAUUUUGCUCUGCCUUUACUCAUUAGGUAGAAUGAAAUCGGUUUGGGGAGAAGAUGCAUUAGAAUUCAAACCGGAGAGAUGGAUUUCUGAGAGUGGGAGAUCAGUACAUGAGCCAUCUUAUAAGUUCUUAUCGUUUAACGCCGGUCCAAGAACUUGUUUGGGGAAAGAAGUGGCUCUGAUGCAAAUGAAGACUGUGGCUGUGAAAAUCAUACAGAACUAUGAGUUGAAGAUCGUUGAAGGGCAAAAAAUCGAGCCAGCUCCUUCUGUUAUACUCCACAUGAAGCAUGGUGUUAAAGUCACCGUUACUAAGAAAUGUUUGGUCUGAAAUGUUCUUUUCGAAUUCUUCAUAGCUGCAGCGAGGAACUCUAAACGUCAGAAGGAGACAAAAAGUAAUAAUAAUCUACGAGGAGGCAAGGAGCUAGACCUCUACUAUUUUAGUUUUUCCAGCCAAUCACAACUCUCUAUUUCAUACCCAUUCGCACCAAACGCGCGUUGCGCGAGUGUUUGCAAUUUCUUUUCUAUAUGCUAUAUAACCCACCAAAUCGUGCCUUUUUGAUUCAACGCACUUGUUUAUGAAAUUGGCAUCGCGUGACUUUGGGUGCAAAUGGUUGCACAAUUUAAGAGGUUGAAGAGGUUGAAAAAAAUUAUUCAACUAGUUUUUACCAUUUGAGUUGAAGAGGUUGGAAAAAUUAUUCAACCCGUUCAACUUAACAAAUUGAAAAAAUGAACUAAUUAUACAAGAAAUUUGUUCAACGCAUUCAUCUCCUAUUUUGCAGAUGAAUAGAUUGAAUGCUAUUCAACUUUUUUUAUUCAACUUAUUCUUUUCCAACUCUUUCAUUUGCAACCAUUUCCACCCUUUGUUGGUUUUUUUAUUUCUUCUUCUCAACACUUUCAAACCAAAUCGAAAUCAAUUGAAAAUUUCGAAAUCAUGUAAACCGAACCGAAAUCAAUUGUAAUUGUUUCUAUCCCGCCAGGCCGCCAUAGGUAGAUGCCAGUCCGAGACUGAAGUUCAGUUCAGUAGUCAUGACUUAUGGCGGAGAUGUAGUUACAGAGGAAAGCUAUAGGAAGAGCUUAAGUCUGGUUAAACUUUAAAAAGAAAGCCUUGGAAGAAGAAUAAGACCGCGGAAUAUAUCAUCAAAUAUAUUAUAUAUAAUCAUUCAGUUCAUACCACAAAUUUAGUGAUUGAUUUAAUUUAAUUCAACGGAAAAGGGAGUAAGUAAGAAAUUAUACAUAUGAAGUUCAAGCUGGAAAAUCUAUCUUUUAGUAAUUGUAACUCUAAGCCCAUGCUUCAUGUGCAACAUAAGACCAGGAUCUGGCUCAAUCUUCUGCCCUUUGAUAACCUCAAUGUCAUAGUUUUGUAAUAUCUCCACAACUACGGUCUUCAUUAGAGUCAUAGCUAACUGCUUACCAGGACAAGUUCUCGGACCGGCGUUAAAAGAUAAGAACUUGAAGGAAGGUGCAUGUCUCAACCCUCCCGUCUCAGUAACCCAUCUCUCUGGCUUGAACUCAGCUGCAUCUUCUCCCCAAACCGCUCUCAUCCUUCCCAACCCGUAAAGAUAGAUUAUGAUGACUGAGUUUGCUUCUACCUUAUGCCCACUUGGAAGCAUAUCUGCUUUUAUAGGAGACUUGCGUUGGAAGACAACCGGUGGAUAGAGCCUCACUGAUUCAUACAACGCUGCAUGAAGAUAGACCAACUUGUCUAACUUCUCUUGGGCAUUUCUUCCGGUUUUUGAGAUAUUUUUGUCGAUGAUCUCUUUACGAAUCUUUGUUACAACUUGAGGGUUUUCAGAGAGAAGCCAGAAGAACCAAGACAGAGCAGAAGCCAUUGUGUCUCUCCCAGCUAGAUUGAAAGCUAAGAUGGUGUCUCGGAGGAACUUGUCAUCACUCGGUUUCAAGAGCUCGUACUUGGUUGUAUCAAGCUUUAUGUGAGAUGACAAAAGAUCCUCACUUUCACCAUCUGAGUGAUGAUCAAUGCCUUGUGAUCUUAUCUCUUCUCUCUUAGCUGUUAUGUAUUUAGCAGAAACGCGAUCAAAAGUGGCAUCAGCUUUGGCCAUCCUCUUCUCUUGUCCAAGCCCCAUCCAGUUUUGCAGCUUCCACAAGAACUUGGGUUUAAUGUGCCUAUAAAAAAUCCCUUCUCCAAGAUCGUCAAGAGCUUUAGCAUACUCAACAGCCGGCAUUUCAAUAGUGAGAGAUUUAGGAUCACACCCGGUAACAAGAAAAAAAGUUGUGUCAAAAGUGAAUCUUUUAAACACUUCCUGCAAAUCCACGACCUUGCCUUCCUCGCAGCAUUGAUCGAAAAGAGGAACAAGACCGUCGUAGAGUUUACUCCUCGUUGCACUCAUUGAUAGCUUCUGAAAGCCUUGAUGGUUAAGCAUGAACUGAGCAGCUUUUCUUUGAUUCUUCCAUAGCUCCGAGUCCGAACUGAAGAUCAUUUCUCCAAAAACAUCAAAGACUUCUUUAAAGUCGGCACCUUUGGUAUAGUUGGAGAAGUUGGAGCUCAAUAUGUAGUGAAUGUUAGCUGGAUCAACAGUGAACAACAUAUCCAUUCCAGUGAACCACGGUCCCUUAAAGAAAAAGGUUAAGUCGGUGGCCUCUAGAGUCUCCACGCCGAAGUUGUAGAUGCGGUGGAGCACGAGAAGGAAGCCUGGAAUCAUCCCGAGAACCGGCCAGUUUCGAAAAGCCUCGUUUUUAGGUUUCUUGAAGAAGAAGCAUUGGAAGAAGACAAGGCAAACAAUGGCUAUGGAAGCGUCAAGUAAGCUAAUAGAAGCCAUUACUCAAGGUUACGAGACUGUUUUUACAGACACAAUAUGGGGAUGGUUCCUUUUGGAGUGUUGGAGGAACUUUGAUUAUAUACACUCACCACCAUAUAGAGGGCAGUCACGGUGGUUAAAUGCAAUAAUUACAUAUUUUUAAAAAAAUAGCAACCAGAAAACAAAAAUAGUUACCCCAAUUGCUUUGUAGCCUGUAGGUACUAUACUAAUUUGUCAGCUGCUUUUCAUAUCAUAAAAUAAGUAAUUUUGCCCUUUUUAAGCUCUCCAUUCCAAUUACAUUGGAUAGAUAUCAUCUUCGUUGCCGGGAGAAACAAACAAACUUUAGAAUAAUUUUAGCCUCGAAGAAUUCUAAAAUAGGGUUUAAAAUGGAAUUCGUGCGUACAGUUUUAGUCGUUUUUUACCUCGAUGGACAGGAAAUAAAAAGGUAAAUGCAGCAUAAACAGGUUAAAAGUUAUAGGUUUAUGAUGGUAAGGAAACGUGCUACAUAAAAACACUACUAAAAACGUUGGUAACAAACAAUAAAAUUAGGAAAAGGAAACUUGUCUUUUUAGAAAAGGUAACAAUAAAAGCUGUCAUAAUUCUUAAAUCUGACCUAACUAAUUUCAUUAGAAGAAGAGGAAAAAAUAAAAGUGAAACGUGACCGACUCUGCAAUCACAAAGAUGUCAGUGUCCCUUGCUAACUACUAACCACACAGAUGGACGAGACGAAUUAUGGAGGAUUUCAAAAGGGUCCAAAUUUCAGACAUUAAAGGACAAAUAGACUUUUAAGACGAUAGACAAAUCAAGACGUGCAUCAGAACUCAUUGGUCCCCCAAGUCACUGCAAAGAAAGUCUCGUUCGUUCUAAUAGUUUUCCAAGUCUCAAGUUGUUCUUUAAUGUCGUCAUUAAAUCUUAAAAUCAACACUAGAACUAGAACUGUAGAAGUAACCAUCAAAUUUUAAUUAACAUUCAAUGACAAAACAAUUGUCAGAGAUAAUAGUAAUACUAAUAAAUAAGACCCGGUCAUACUCUCACUGCAAUGAAGGCCGUUUUAACAGUUUUUCUUUUAAUACAUGAAGAAAAAUUCAAUAAAAAUCGAUACAACAUCUCAGAGCUUUUAAUCCAUUUCAAAAAUUUAGUCAACUUGCAUACAUAAAAAAUCUACCACUACUGGGCAAAACCAUAUCCGAAACACAAUAAUAUGAGAGGGUUCCGACAACAUCAAUCACAUGCUAUUAAUGGAAACAGAUAAAAAAAAAAAAAAAAAAAGUCAUGGGGUUUCCAAAAAUACAAAAAGGGUGCAGACACACGGAUUUCGUCUUUCCAUAUAAUUGUAUGAUACAGUAUUUUAAAAAAACAGAUGGAUAAGCAGAGUAACCAAACCAAUAAUAGAAGAUCCUAACCUUCUCUAGAUAUCUCAUUAUGCCUACUUUUUUGGUUGGCUUCUCCGCUAUCUGGUAAAAAUCAUAUCUUUUUCACGAUCUGAACAACAUCCUCAUCCUCCAGCUCGUGCUCCUGUGGUGUUUCCAUACAUCAAAAAUACCGAUGUCAAGACAGAAAUACUUAUAGUCAGUGAUAUUGUAAUGGAUAUUGUCAAGACAGCAAUACUUAAGUCGGUGAUACUGUAAUGGAUUUACUACCCCAAUAAAUUUUAAACUAUGGAAAUCUUGGCAACUAAGGUGCAAGUAGACUGACCUUUCCAACUCUCUGUGGCUUGUGUUUCGCACUUGAACCCCAAACCAAAGCGCUGCAUCACGACAUCAUCAGUUCAGUACUCAUGUGCGAUGAUGCUCUUGAGCAAUAAACCAUAUAACAGAGAAACAGAACAAUGAUAAAAUUUCAAUUACUUACUACUUGAAUUGUUUGAGCAUGUCCUUGUGAAUCCGGAUGCAGAAGUCCUCUACUGUUCUCUUCUUGGAAGAUAAGAUAACGGGAUCAUCGUAAUCUGGAUUCAUUGCCUUCGGUUUUGUGUAGAUUCGAGUUAGAUCCAAGUAUUCCCAUAUUUUAUCCAGCAGACCGUCAAGAUUCCACUCCAGAUGCGCACUGCAGGAUUAUUAUAUCUAAAUGAGAACAAAAAAUGUGAAUCCUCUCACUAAAUUAACAAUAUUUUACCUGAUAGGACAGUAAUGAGGAAGUUUGUCCAAAAUUUCGAGCUCCUCAAGUGUGAUUUGAUCGAUCUUGUUGACAGCGUAGAUACAGGGCAUAUAUAUCCGACUGCCCUCAAUGACGUCAAUGAGGUCAUCAGCAGUUGCAUCAUAGCGCAGGGUGAUGUCAGCAUUGUGAAUCCUGUACUCACCGCAAAUCGCCUUGACAGUGUCCAGAUCAAGGUGUGUGACUGCGACUGUAGAAGUUAGAUUGAUACCACCUUUGUCUUUUUUCCUAAACGUUAAAUUUGGUGGCUCCUUGUUCAACCUGAAUAGCAUCAGUACACAAUUGAGUUAGACUAUCUACUACAAACGAUCAAACAUACGACGUAUGAAGGUUGUUAUAUAAGCAAUCUAUACCUUAUUCCAAAUCCUUCGAGCUCUUUUUCAAUGAGACGCUUGUGAGUAAUAGGUUUUAUGGCAUCAAGAACUAUUAAGAUGCAGUUGCAUGUCCUAGCAGUACUAAUAACCUAGAAACAGUAAAGUGUCAAAUAUGAUCGAAAAGGGUCACAUUAUAAUUUACUCAAGAGAUAUAUACGUACCUGUCGUCCUCUACCUUUUCCAUCUUUAGCACCCUCAAUAAUACCAGGAAGAUCUAAUAACUGCAAACCAAUUAAAAGGGACAUAGAAAAUAGUAUCAGCAUCAACGUCCAAUGAAUCAUUACAUGUUGUUCUGAGCUUAAUCUAAGCACCAAGAAGUCAUUCAAGCAGAAUAUAUGUUAAUAUAAAACUGAGAUUCGAGAAACGAUAAUUACAGGCAUAUACAAAGGCAUGGAUUUCAUUGUUUUCACAAAUCACCAAGACAAAGGAAACAAUUGAACAGUCAAGAAUUAUCAUUUUUUUUCUCGAAUAAACAACAGAUUAACAACAGACCAAUAGAUGUAGAUAUCGUACCUGGAUUUUAGCUCCACGAUAUGUAAUAACACCGGGAAUGCAUGUCAAAGUUGUGAACUCAUAAGAAGCAACCUGAAAAAGCAUAGAGCAUAUCCUAUAAGAAAAUAGAGUACCAGCCAAAAAUACAGUUCAAAUUCAAAGAUUUAUGAUCAUCUAUAUCCAAGACAAGACUAGUGCCGUUCAGUCUUGCCUUAUAAGUGAGAUUGCACAAGAAAUUGGUAAAAAAUAAUAAUAACCUACAAACCUCGGAAAAUGUCCCAGUCAGCUUGUUCAAGAGCGUUGAUUUUCCAACAGAAGGAAACCCAACUAGUCCAACUCUAGAAUCUCCACUUUUAGUCACAUCAAAACCUUCACCCGCACCACCACCAGCACCUUUGGUAGGCGGUGCAAGAAGGUCCCUCCGUAGCUUAGCAAGUUUGGCCUACAAAACGUACCAAUCAAAAUAAAAGAGAAGCUAUUAAUGGCCGGGAAAAAGUACUAAAUUCUAAUAUAUCGAUAUGGAAUGAUAGUUCCUGCCUGCCUACUAGUGUUUGACAAAAAGAAAUUCAUAAGAGAUCAUGCCCGUAAAUAAAAAUUCCAUGAUUUGGGAGCUCAUACGACCAGAAGUUACAACAUUUGUCAAUGUGCUUGCUUGCUUAGUAGGUUGGGAUUUCAGAGAAGAUACUAGUAUCGAAAUAGAUAUGCCAAAUUUUACAUUUAUUCACCAAAAACGAUUACAUGAACUAAGCAACAACAAAAUUCUUAGCUAGUUAGAAAGUGCAAUAACUUUUAAAGAGAAUAUUUUACCUUUAACAAACCCAGAUGAUGAGAAGUAGCUUUAUUCUUCUGCGUUUUAGCCAUCUGCGACAUAAACGAAAAAACAACCUCGUGCUUGUGAGUCACACAGAUUAUAUAAAAAACAAUUAACCAUUUCUUUAAUUCAGAACUAACAGAGAAGAAGAAAUAUAUCGGAUUUACAGUUCUAUGCAUCCAAAUAAUGAAGAAUCGGAGGAGGAUUGAAAGAUUACCUCAUCUUCAAUUUCUUUGAUCUUCUGCAUAAUGGUCGACAUGGUUGCAGUCAAAGCAGAGCGAGAGAGCUCACAGAGACAACGUCAAGGUAAAGAGGUUAAACGCUAGCGAAAGGAAGAAGGACACCGGAAUCUGAGUUUUAAAAAAAAGUGACGACGGAGGAGAAAGAACCAGAGGAUUCCCGAGGGUUUUCGUUUCGCCACCUGAUUACGACAGAACACAGAAGAAAAGAAAAAAGAAAAAAAAAAACUAGAACAGAACUCGGCCUGAUCCAACAACAUACUGGGCCUAAAUAACAACUAGAUGUCCAAUUUGGUAUCCGGUUUAAGAAAAAUUGGAAUAGAUUUGAGAAUUUAGCUUGGUUUGAUUAAAAAGUGUAUUGUUUUGAAUUGGUUUUUCGGGUUUAUCUGAAUUUAAAAUCGGUUUAAUCAAAUUCAGAUAUACAACAUCAUGUACCGUUCACCAUUAUAACUUCUCCCUCAGGUUAACAAAUUCCAAGAGACCAGAGGCAGAAGAAUACGAAGAAGGGUAGAGACGUAUAGUUCCUUGCAAUUACUAAGAGAGAAGAAGAAGAAGAGCGCGUGCUGCCGCGUAGAAUACUAAGAAACAUGCUGCCGUUUUUUUGAAGAAGGAUGGUGGAUCAGAUAAACGAAAACGGCAGAUAGUUAUAUCACCAAAAAUAAAAACGACAGAAAUCGGAUGGACGAUGGUUGGUUGGAUGAACGGUAAAAUUUUGAUGGGCCUAUUCUGUACAUUAAAUGGGCCCAUCACCUACCAAAAAAAAAUAACAGUUUGUCAUUUUUUGAAUAUUCUAUCGUUUCUACACUAAGGAGUAGAGACCAUAGAUGAGAAAUGGUUCUUGUGGUACGUACAAUAAUAUGGACAAAUGUCACACAUUAUAAUAAGCAAUUUUCCUAUUGUCUUAUUUCAAAUAUACACUAAUCAAUCAUCAUCAAUUAAAUACAUAAUUAUUAUUAACUAGGCAUAAAUUAGCAGAUAAGUUUAGGAGUUUCCACUUUCCACCAUACAUAUAUCAUUUUACAAUGACUGCGAAUAUAAAAAAUACAUAAAUCUAGUAAAGUACUCAUUUACGCCAAUAAGAACAGAGAGAUAGAAGAGUCUGUGUUAUUUGUUCAAAAAAAAAAAAAAGAGUCUGCGUCUCUCAAGUCUUUGGUCUUUUGCUCCGCCGUUGAGAUAAAAAAGGUGAACCCUUUUUAAUACAUUCUCCAAUCUCCGUUUCCUUUCUCUGCAUUGAUUUUUUAAUGCUGAAUUGGUUGUACUUGUUAGUUGUUAUAGCCAGAUGAUUACUCCACUUUUUCUAAGGAAAUGGUUCCAUUGAUGUUAUUUGGCCUCUAAGAUGAGUUAUUCAUUCCAUUGAAUUCUUGUAGUGGGCAUUUCGCAGAAUGUUAUGGAAGUAGCUACUGUUCAGAGGUUUCAGUACUCAUCAUGGAUUGAUUUGAGGAAUUUUGAAGGCAAGCCUCGUGGUUCUUUGAGGUAUACACUGAGAUUUAAGGAAAAUAAAACGCUUAGAGUUGUUGCCCCUUUGGCUCUUGAUAGAAGAAGGGAUCAUCGACUAAGAUCUGUUUCUGAUCAAAACUCCUCAGGUUCUAACAUAAGCUUGAAUCUUUCUAUAUGAUUUGGUUGUGUCUACUUUUAUGACAAAAGAGAUGUGUUUCCUCCAUUUAAAAAUAUAUAAAUUUUGUAGCAUUGUUGGAAACUGGAAGUCUUCGUCAGUCUCCAUUUGAUGAAGAACAGAUUUUGAAGGCAAGUUGAUACGCUUUUGUGGUGUCAUCAAGACAUUUGGCUUUACAGUCUUUAGUGACAUGGUUCAGAUGUUGCGUGUUAUCUUCUACCUUUUUUCUAUAAAAUUCUUAUGUCGACAAUAGCUUUUGCAGAGAAAAGCUGAAGAGAUUAAACCAUAUUUAAAAGGACGACCUAUUUUUCUUGUUGGUCAGUUUCUUUGUCUCAUCCUUACCUUCUCGUGCGUGCUGGUAGUUUAACAGUGUCCUCUUCAAUGUGUUAGGAAUGAUGGGAUCCGGGAAGACGACAGUUGGAAAGAUAUUAUCAAAAGCACUUGGUUAUACAUUGCUUGACUGGUAUAUUAUCUCCCCACUUUCAUCUGUCUCUAUUGAACUUUAGAUGAGCUUAAACAUUGUUUUGUAAAAAAUGUGCCAGCGACACUUUCAUCGAGCAUGCGAUGAAUGGAACUUCUGUAGCUGAGAUAUUCGAGCAUUUCGGUGAGAGUGUUUUCAGAGAAAAAGAGGUUGGUUUAUACAAUUCUUCGGUUCUUCUCUUUAGUUGUAGGUAGACUGUGUUACCAAAAAGUCCUAUUGUUAAUUCUGUUGUGUUGAAUUUUUGUUCGGUGCUUCUUUGUUUAUUUUUUAUGCUAAUUUCACCACAUGCUUUCUUUCUAGACCGAGACACUAAAAGAGGUUUCUUGCAUGUAUCGUCAAGUUGUUGUUUCGACCGGGGGAGGUGCUGUCAUAAGACCCAUCAAUUGGUUCGUUUUCUUCCUAUAAGUGAUUUAUAAUGUGGAACUCAGACCAUUUGGUAACAAUGUAUCUUUUUAAUUACAUUUUUGUACUCAGGAAGUAUAUGCAUAAAGGCAUUACCAUUUGGCUAGAUGUUCCUUUAGAAGUCUUAGCCCAUAGAAUUGCUGCUGUAGGAACUGAUUCAAGACCAUUGUUACAUGUUGAUGAGGCAGAGGACAUAUACACAACGGUAGUGCUAUUAUUGUUAAGUAUAACACAGCAGCUUAAGCCCUUUUCUGUGGUUUUGAUCAUCUGUGACUUCAUAUAGACUUUAAACCGUCUUUCAAAAAUUUGGGAUGUACGUGGAGAAGCUUACACAAAUGCCAACGCGAGAGUUUCCUUGGAGAGUAUGGUCCUUUCCACGUUUUAUUUUAUGUAGCUUUUACACAAUCUCAGCCAUUGUUGUGACUAGUUUACUCGAAUUGUUCAGAUACUGCGUUGAAGCUCGGUUAUAAAAGUGUAUCAGAUCUUACACCAACUGAAAUCGCCAUUGAGGUAAGUCUCAGAAUCCCUCUGUUCCUAGUCAGGUGUGUACGUUGGAGUUUGUUUUGAUAAGCUCUAACUACGCAAUAAUACAUCACCAGGCCUUUGAGCAAGUUCAGAGCUAUUUAGACAACGAAGAUGGUAUAGCUAGACUCUGAUGACCCUCUAGUUCCAGAAUGAUAUGUUUUCCGCAACAUCUCAUGAAGUUACGCUUUAUCAGAGCUUAUUUGUGCCUAGUUUUGAGUGUUUUAGCGAGUCAUGAAGAAAGAGAAAGCCAGUUAUCUGUAAUAUACGACCAAACACUCUUCAAUCAAACUUGCAUGUCUUGAUUUACUUGUUCUUACCAUGAAAGAAAAGAACUUUCUAUUCAACCAAAACAGAGUUACAAAGGUCUAUAGCAGCACUAAAGUAAGCUAAAAGCAUGAAAGGUUUACAGAUGAUAUGCUGCCAAUGACUAUACCUUAACGCUAAAAACACAAGAAGCAAUCAUCCAACAACAUGACACAAUAAUACCCACAACCAACCACCAAAGAUUCACGACAUUCAAGUUUGUCUCGUAUUAUCAUUCAUCAAACGGUAGGGGAAAGAGCAUAGACCACUUUAUAUGACAAGGGAACCGUAAGCACUGCGUCAUGCCACUCGACCUUCCCCCAAAUCUCUUCACUGCGCCUUUCAAGCGCAAUCACCGCGCACAAAAUCGUCUUGUUCUUACACCCAUUGGAAGUGAUAAUCUUGUCCCAGAAAACAGCCAUCUUCCCACCAUAAUCCGCCAUCUUUCCACCACAUCUGGCAAACCUAGGCAGUCCUUUCACACCCUUCAGUUUCUUCCAGAGUCUGACCUUAGUGUCAUACCAAUUAAACUCUCCCUCAUAAUAAUAGUAAAGCACGUUCUCAACAACGCAAUAGGAAUACCAUACCCAACCUAAAUGCAUCUCCAAUUCCAGCCUUCUCCAUCUACCUUCCUUCGGUUUAUAAACCAAACCAUUAGAGUUUGCAAUAACGAUCUCUCCUUCAACCGCUGCGCUUUGAUGUAUACCACAACCACCAAUCUCGGCACCAGGGCUUGAGACAGGCUCCCAAGUUUGGGUAUGAGGAGAAAAAACCUCCAUCCAGUUGGAUGAAUUGCUGCAGUCUUUGCAGCCUCCUGUCACAUAUAUCUUUCCAUCAAGCACAUUGGCGGCUGGAUAAUUCCGCUCUACCCGCAUGCUUGGACCCUCCUGCCACGUGUGAGACUGGCAGUCCAAGAUCGAGACGCGAGACGAAUGUGCUUGGUCGAUGGGUCCGCCAAUGUUAUAGAUAUUAGAACCAACCGCAACGAGACCCGACCAGUGCACACCACGAGAAGGGAGAACUGGGAUUGCCGCCAAAGCGUACCCUCUAGACUUCUUCUUCUUCUUCUUCUUCUUCUUCUCAGUGAGAUCACUGGUUAGAGGUCGAUUGGGUCUCCGGCAGAGAGUGAACCAUAGAGGGUUUAGGUCAUCAUCUCGGUCCUUUAAACACACAUAGAGACAGCUCUCGGUGCGUUCUAACGAGGACCGGAUCUUGUAUAGCUCCGGUGAUGCGAUAAGCGAGCGGAAACUCUUGGAGACAAGGGAGAGAGCUGGAUAAUACAAUCUCGAGACUCGUGCUAAGCAGCUCAAUAUCAAAUCAUCUGGAAGCGAAGGAUUUGGAGUCGUCGAUUGCGGGAGUACAGGCGACGGCUUCUUCUUCUUCCUCCUCCUCUUCUCUGGGGACGACAUUGGCGAGCAAAACGAGAUCGCCGUUGAUCAACCAACCUCUGGGUUUUCCACUACCGAGUUUUCUGAAGCGCAUUACUUAUUUCGCUCAUUAAGGCCUACUUAAAUUAUGGGCCCAAUCUAGAAAUAGGUAUCAAAAUCUUUUAUGUUUUAGUUUCAUAAUGGGCCUCGAACCAUAAAUUCAACGUAAACUAUAGAAGCUUCUGAAGCUGAACUGCUGUGCUGCUUCUGUGUGUUUGUUUAGUCUUGCCAUGAAUAAAUGAUUCAGUCUGAAGAUGAACUGAAUAACAAAAACUUUGUUAGAUUAAAAUCUAUAAUACGCGUUAAUCUUUUUCCUGUGAUAUUUAAUGAAACACACAUAGAGCCAUAAUCAUUUGUUUAUAAGAUUGUAGGCAAGCAAAGCCAAGCCUUUGCAAAUGAAGCGAAAUAACAAAAAGAGUUCUGUAAACUAGUCGACCAAACUCUCUCCAAGGAUGAAUCUUGUAAUGUUACAGCUUUCCUACAAAUGUGAAUAACCUUCCUGAUCAACCAAUACAAAUAUGUUAGGCUUUUAAACAUAAGCAGACCACUGCAAACUAAACUAAUCUUCUACCUCCAACAUUCAAGAUCCACAACCGAGUCAAUUCAUCAAACAGUCGCAGCACGAGCACACACGAAUACAUAAGACUCAGGAACUGUAAGCACAGCAUCAAGCCACUCAACCUUCCCAAAAAUUUCUUCAUUGAAGCGCCUUCCAAGUGUGAUCACCGCACACCAAAUCACCUUGUUCUUAUAGCCACUAGAAGGCAAAUACUUGUCCCACAAAACAGCCAUUUUUCCGCCAUAAUCGGCCAAUCUAACGCAACCAUAACCAGCAAACUUAGGCAAUCCUUCUAAACCCUUCAACUUUACCCACCGUCCAAUCUUAGAGUCAUACAAUUUGAUUCCAUCUGAUUCACUGUAAGAAUAUAGUACACUAUCAAUCACGCAAUAAGUAUACCAUACCCAUCCAAAAUCCAAAUAAUUCACCGCUCCUAUUGCUUCCCAUCUAUCUAAUUUUGGGUUGUAAGCCACACCCUUAUCCCCAAACAAGCAUAUAGCUUUUUCAAUCACUGCGCUCUUGCAUACACGAGUUUCACAUCUAUCUGCGAAAGGGUUCAAGAGAGGCUCCCAAGUUCGUGUUUUUAGAUCGAAAGCUUCCAUCCAAUUAGAGGAAUUGGACUCUUUGCAACCACCUGCAACAUAUAUCUUUCCACCAAUGACAUUGGCCGCAGGGAAAUUACGCUCGGCCAGCAUGCUUGGACCUUCGUGCCACGUGUGAGACCUGCAGUCCAAAACGGAGAUGCUAGAGGAGUACUCUUCACUGGUGGAUCCGCCAAUGUUGUAAAUAUCAGAACCAACCGCAACGAUACUCGACCAGUGGGCAGGAGGAGAAUUGGGAAUUGACACUGCGGCCAUAGCAUGACCAGUUGACUUCUUAUUCUUCUUCUUCAUGUUGUUGGUUAAGGUUGGAUUAGGUUUUCGGCAGAGAGUGAACCAGCGAGGGUUAGAGCGAGAAGGGAACCCUAAGCACACAUAGAGACAACUCUCGGUGCGUCCUAAGAAUGAACGAGUCUCGUAUAGCUCCGGUGAAGCAAGGAGAGCUCGAAAGCUUUUGGAAACGAGAGAGAGAAUCGGGUACUCCAAUCUCGAGACGCGUGCGAAGAUACUUAUAAGCAAAUCAUCAGGAAGAGACGAAAGCUGGGUCGAUUGCAACGACAGGGGGAGUAAGGGUGAGGUCGUCGUCUUCGUCUUCCUCUUCUUCACCGGUGACGACAUUUGGCGAAAUGAAAUUGUCGACGGCAGAGUACUAAAGUCAAAGAGGAAUUUAGGGAUUUUGACUGCUACACUCCUCCAACGUAAUGGACCUCAAAAGUGAUUUAAUCCUUUUCAUUAAUUCUUUUAAUGGGCCUCAAAAGCAAUAAAAUUUGUAAAUUUGAAGAAGAAAAAACACAAUCCUUUAAAGUGGAUGACUUUAUUUACGUUAAAUGAAAAUUAGAAAUGUUAACUUUCAGUGCACAAAAAAAAAAAAAAAAAAAGGUUAACUUUCAGCGUUGAUAUUUAUAAAAACAAAAUUCAUUACGUUGUUAUAUUUUAAAAUUUGUAUGCUGCUGAUAAGAGACGAGUGGUAGUAACUCUAAUUAGUAUUUCUUGCAAAAGUUAAAGUCACUGAGGACUCAGAUCUUUGGUUAAUGUUUCCUGUAGCGGGAGAUGGUGAAAUCUUUGAUAACACCAGUCCACCAUGGACUAACUACCAGAGCAAGUUUCUCUGCAACUUCUUCACCAAAUCUGUAAUAAACUUCCUCUUCAUAGGUAACAUCAAAAGCCCACUUUUUCUUAUUGAAUCAUCAAAUGUCCACUUUGUCUGCCUAUUAGACGACCAAACAUUCUUCAAGUAUGUAUCUUGUUAAGUUGUUAUAGUUCAUUUUUUCCCCCUAAGGAUACAGUAAACCAUUCUAUAGUCAACCAAAACAGUGUUUCAAAUGAAAGAGAGCACACGUUUAGCUAUACAAAACCUCGUUCUAAGACAUAGCCAACCGAAUGCAAUUUCGCACCCGCUGGCAACAAUACAAGCUAACCAUUAAAAAUUCUCAACAAUACAAGUAGAGGUUUGCAAGUGAAAACAAAAACAAACCAGCAAAGACACAAUCCUCUCAAUAUACCCAGUGUUGGUCUCAGUUGUUGUCAUUCAUCAAACAGUAGCUGCAAGAACACCCACGAACUCAGAACCCUCGGGGACUUCAAGCACAGGACCAAACAACUCGACCCUCCCCAAAAUCUCUCCGUUGUUAUUUCUUUCUACCUCAACCUCUGCACACCAUAUCUGCUUUCCCUGAAAGCCACCACCACUAUCACUAGCAUACGUCAUGUCCCAAAAAACCGCCAUCUUUCCACCAUAAUCCGCCAAUUUAACAUGGCUAUGAAUAGCAAUAUCCAGUGAUUCUAAACCCUGCACAAUCCUCCAUUCUCUGAUGCUAGCGUCAAACCACUUGAACUCUCUACUAUAAUAAUAGUACAACACAUUAUCUAUCACACAAGAAGAGAACCAGGCCCAUCCCUUACACAUAUUCCAUUCUACGGGUUCACAUAUACCAUCCUUUGGGUUGUAAGACACACCCUUAGAACCACACAUGUAGACCUUUCCAUCAAUCUCUGUGCUUCUGAUUAUCUCACUGUCGCAUUCUUUCGCACAAGAGCUUGACACAGCCUCCCAAGUUUUGAACUUUGGUUCAAAAACUUCGAUCCAGUUGGGGGAAUCAAUGUCCUUGCAGCCUCCUGCUACAUAAAGCUUCCCAUCAAGAACACUAGCGGCUGGGUGAUCUCUUCUCAUGAUCAUGCUUGGACCCUCUUCCCAGCUGUGAUACCUGCAGUCCAAGAUCAAGACUCUAGAAGAAGGCUCGUCGUCAUCGAUGGUUCCGCCAAUGUUGUAUAUAUGAGAACCAACCGCCACGAGAGCCGAACACCGCGCAGAGGGGAGAGGGGAAGAUGGGAUUGAGACCAAAAGAUUGCAAAUUGGCUUCUCUCUGUUGACGCUGGCUCGAUCAGGUCUCCGCCAGAGAGUGAACCAACGUGGGUUAGGGUCCAGAGGGAACCGUAAACAAACGUAGAGACAACUCUCGGUGCGGUGUAAGAGUGAUCGGGAGGUGUAAAGAUCCGGCGAAUCCGGCGAAGCAAGAAGGAGCCGAAACCUCUUGGAAACUAAAGAAAGAGUCGGAUAGUGUAGUCUUGAGAGGCGAGCUAAGCAGUUCAACACCAAAUCAUCCGGAAGUGACGAAAACGUAGUCUCAGGCGAUGGCUCUUUGCCGUUCACGGCGGCGGUUGAAGUCGGUGGAGACGACAUCAUUAACAGUACGAAAUAGCCGUUGAUAAAAACUUCGGGAACUCUCUCUCUCUCUCUCUCUCUCUCUCUCUCUCUCUCUCUCUCUCUCUCUCUCUCUGUUUUGGGGAUCCACGGUCUAUUUAUAUAGAUUUUGACUCAAUUUCAGUUCCAAAGUAUCGUGAAGGUAACGGAAUCUUGAUGGGCCUUAACCAACUGAUUUUAACCUUUUAAGUAUUAUCUACCUUUUAAUCGUGUUGUUAACUUAUAGUAAAUUUAUAUUUUAACUUAAUUUGUUGUUCCAAUAUCCUUACGACAGAAACUAGUAUAAUGGACGUGAUCAUCCCUCAGGAACAUUCCCUAGAGGUUUAACACUUCAAAGUGUUCUCAUAGAUCCUAUUGUGGCUUUCGAAAUUGCCAAAACUAACCUCCUCUUUAAGGCCAUUUUGUCCACCAGAUUUUUAAUUAAGGCUCUGUUGAAGAGAACAUUUGCAAAAUGAUCUAAAAUAUCCCAGCAAAGGCUCCUAACAUACCAGAUAAUGAUCUUUUAAAGUUUAAUGCUGAUGGUACUUAGAAAAAUAGAGAAUGCUUUUUGUGGUGUAUGCUAGAAACUCAGUCUCUCAAGGUUUUUGUGUUGGAGCAGAAAUCGUAGCAAGGAGAUGUGGAAACAGAGGCGGUUCUCUGUUCUCAAAAUCUGUAUGUAUCAUCUUUAGCCUAAAACGAUAGAUUCAGGUUUUUUGCCACUUCAUCAUUACAUUUCAUUUAAAAAAAGUCUAAAGAAUGGUUUGUAAACAUAUUCUUGAAGUGUACCCAGUUAUGGACAUUUUAUCAGUAGCAGUCACAUUGAUGACAAAAAAAAAAAAAAAAUAUCAGUAGCAGUCACAAAAUAAGUUAGAUUUACAAGCUGAAAAACAUUUCAUAAGAACACACAUUAAAAACAAACUGAUUUACAUAGUAGUGCGUCGCUAGAUAAAUCCAUAAUGUAGAAGGCUAAGAGACAAAUACUUGCACCAUGAAAGAAGUAAACUUUCUUUUCAACCAAAACAGAGUUUCAUAAGGUCUUUAGCAGCAGAGAAAUAAGCUAACCAUCAAAGGUUUACAAGUGAAACAAUGUCAACAGCAUAAAGCUAAAAAAUACAAUACACAAUCAUCCAACAAAAUGAUACAGUUCCUACAACACAUUAUGGAUUCACCACAUCCAAGCAUGUCCUGUAUGUCAUUCAUCAAACGGUAACAGCAAGAGCAUGCUCAAAUUCAUAUGACACGGGAACUGUAAGCACUGCCUCAUGCCACUCGACCUUCCCCCAAAUCUCUUCACUGUUGGGCCUUUCAAGCGCAAUCACCGCGCACCAAAUAGUCUUGUACUUAUCUUCACUGCAAGUCGGAGGCACACGAUUGUCCCAAAAAGCCGCCAUCUUUCCACCAUAAUCCACCAACUUUACAUAGACAUUCUUGCCAAACUUAGGUAGUCCUUUCAAACCUUUCAUAAUUUUCCAUAAACUCAGCUUAGUAUCAUACCAUCGGAAAGCUCCACCAUAGCAGUACAAAACAUUCUCUAUAAUGCAAUUACAAGACCAAAACCAACUUCGACCCAUCUGAUAUCCGACAAAGUCCCACCUACCUUCCUCUCGGUCAUAAGCCAUAACCUUACUCCCAAUCAUUAGGUAGAACUUUCCUUCAAUAUAUGCGCUUCUUGAUAGAACACCCCAUCGUUUCUCCCAACAAGGGAUGGGCAUAUGAUCCCAAAUUUGGGUCUUUGGGUCGAACAUCUCGAUGGAGUACGAAGACUCUGAAUCCUCAUCUUGGUUGCCUCCAGCUACAUAAAUCUUUCCAUCAAUGACGGAAGCAGAAGGGUCCAACCUUUCCAUCUGCAUGCUUGGAGCUUCACGCAACGUGUGAGAGCGGCAGUCUAGGAUCAAGACUCUAGAUGAAGGCACAUUCUCAAUGUCUCCGCCAAAGAAGUAGAUAUUGGAACCAACCGAAGCGUGACCAGACCAGUGCGCAAGAGGAGGAUUUGGAACUGGGAUUGGGAUCAAAAUGUUGCCCCUUGACUUCUUCUUCUUCUUCUUCCUGGUGCCUUUACUUAGGGCUCGGUCGGGUUUGAGGCAGAGAGUGAACCUGAGAGGGUUAGGAUCAGGAUUCCCCUCCUGUAAACACAGAUAGAGACAACUCUCGGUGCGGCCUAAGAGUGACCUAGUAUCAUAAAGCUGAGGUGAAGCAAGGAGAGAUCGAAAGCUCUUGGAGACGAGAGAAAGAGUUUAGUAAUACAAUCUCGAGAGGCGUGCGAAGAUACUUAAUAGCAAAUCGUCAGGAAGGGACGGAAUCGGCGCCGUCGGCGGUGAUGGCUUCUUUUUCUUAAACGAUGGUUUCUUCGUCGUCGUCACCGUCUUCCUCUUCCUCUUCUUCGGGGAAUACAUUGGCGGGACUAAGAAAUCGCCGUUGAGCAAUCUCCCGAUGUCUCCGAGAAUUUGACCCACUACAAUGACAGUUCUCGAGCGCGUUUUCUGUACUCGCUCAGAUUGCGCGUGCGAUAUUACCCAGAUUUUUGAAGGGCUAGUUCAACUGUGGGCUUUAUAUUAUUUAAUGGGCCUCAAAACACGAGCGAUUAAUCCAGCUGGAAACAUGAAACAAUCCAUCAAAUUAAACAGCCCAAACCAUUCACAUACUCCGGCAAAUCGUCAUCAAUCAAACAGUAGCAGCAAGAACAUGAACCAAUUCAUAUGAUUUGGGAACUCUAAGCACAACAUCGAACCACUCAGUCUUACCGCAAAUGUCGUAUGUGUCAUGCUUUUCAAUUGUAAUCUCGGCACACCAAAUCAUCUUGUUCUUAGAGCUAGACGGCACAAAAGUGUCCCAGAACACCGCCAUCUUUUCACCGUAAGCCGCUAAGUUAACACGGCUAUAGCAGAGAAACUUGAUCAGCCGUUCCAAACCCAUCAAUUUUCUCCAAAACCUUCCUUUAUAGUCAUACCAUUUAAAUUCCCUAUCAUUAUAAUAGAACAGUGUAUUGUUUAUCACACAAUACGAAACCCAUGACCGACCCAUAUCCAAAUCCAUUCCAACUGAGUCCCAUCUGCCUUCUUUCGGGUCGUAAGCCACAUGACCCGCACCUCCAAACAAGUGAUAUUUGCCUUCAAUACCAACGCUCUUGUAAACAAGUCUCUCGCAUCUCUCAGUACCAGGACUCGCCACAGAGUCCCAAGUUUGAGUCUUUGGGUCAAACACCUCUAUACAAUCCAACGAAGUGCAAUCCUCGCAACCUCCUGCUACAUAAAUCUUCCCAUCAAGAACGGUAGCAGUAGGGUAGCUCCGUGCCACCCGCAUCGGUGGAGCUUCACGCCACGUGUCACACUGACAAUCCAAAACAGAGACGCUAGAGGAUGGCGCAUCAUGAAUAGGCCCUCCAAUAGCGUAGAUAUUAGAAUCAACAGCGACCACACUGGACCAAUGAGCAGGAGGAGCAUAGCGAGAUAAGAUCGGGACUAAUAAAUGACCGCCUGAGAAAUUUGUUAGUUUCCGAUCCGGAACUCGACAGAGAGUGUACCAACGGAGGUUAGACUCGUUAAGCAACCUUAGGCACACGUAAAGACAACUCUCGGUGCGGCCGAGGAUAGACCGAGUCUGAUAAAGCUCAGGGGAAGCAACGAGAGCGCGGAAACUCUUGGAGACGAGGGAGAAAGUUGGGUAAUACAAUCUUGAAAUGCGGCUAAGGGAGCUCAAAAGUAUGUCAUCAGGCAGAAACAGAUUCGUCGUGAUCGGCGAGAGUACCAAUGGUAACGCCUUCUUCGGCUCAUACGGUGCCUUCUCGUCGUUCACGGCGGCCGGAGAGUUAGUUGGAGACGACAUAAGACGAAAUUGCAGCCGUUGGUUUUCAAGAUUUCUAUUGGUAGAACAAAUCUACACGGUGUUUGCAGAGAUAAAUCCCCGAUUCUUUACCAAUUCCUUUAUUUCAAUACAUUGGAAUUGUGACUUUUCCUACACAAACAAAAAAAUCAUAUAAAAAGAAAAUGUUGGAGCAGUCGUCGGAGAAGACUCGCUAAACUUAAAAAAAUAAAAAGACUCAACUCAUUCAAGAGCUAAAGAUGCGCGUUUAUUUCUUUAUUUACACAAGUUUGACCAGGUCAAGAUGAAAAGCACUAAACUAAACCAGACAAAACUAAUAACAAAAAAAAAAAAAAAAAGUAUUUUUGUAAUAAAGUUGUUAACGUGGGCUCCUUUGUCGGGAUGAAUAAUAAAAGACUUUGCUGUCCAGUGCAGGAGCAAAACUUGAUUAUUGUUUUUGUCGAAUGAAAAAGAGUUUAGGCCUUUUUAAAAUUAAUGGCCCAACCCGAAAUGGGUAUUUAGGCCUGGUAAUUGUAUUUGUGUUGUUUCCACAUGUUUCAAAAUUGAUUUUAAGGAUUUCGUUUCCAUGUAGGUGUUUAUUUUCUCGUGGUCGCGACAAGUAUGAAGAACUUUACCAUCAUUUAGGAACAAUUAUAUUUAUUCUAAAUAGUUAGAUUUGGUGUAAAUGGUUUUACAGAAUAUAACAUCUGAAGAAAUUUAACAAUUUUUAAUUUAUUUAACGUCCAAAAGUAAUAAAUUAUUAACAGUUACCCCUAUUAUUUUUAUUUUUAUUUACUGAAGCACCAGUUAUCCGAAAAUCCUACCCAAAUUUUUUUUAAAAAAUUUAUCCAAAAAACAAAUUCUACAAAAUUAAUAGAUUGCAAUAAUCAAAUGCUCUACUUGUAAUAGUAAAAUUUUAUAAUAAAGAAAGAAAAAAUGACCAAAGAGAUGCUUUUAAAGCAAUAUAUUAAAAUCAAUAUUAUUAUUUUUGGGAUCAAAUUGUAAAUCAAACUACUAUCAAUACCAACCAUUAAUAUUUUGUAAAUUUUACUGUCUAAAAAUCAGAAAGAGAAAGCAUAAAUCUAGGUUGGCCACAAAAUAUUAAUUGGAUACUUUUAGUUCUCUCUCCUUUAUUUUGACGAUAAUUUCUCUCUUCUCUAUAUAUAUACCAAAAGUUAGACAUUUUGAAACUCAUCAUAAUCUUAAAAGUGAAAAGAAACAAAAAAAAAAAAAAACUAAAAAAAUGUAUAAAGCAGUGUUUUUUCUAAUUACUUUGAUUGGUCUCUUGUUUGCUGGAUCAUCAAACACAGCAUUAGCCCAAGUAGCCUAUGAAACACCAAAAACAGGUAAGCUUAUAUAUAUUGUCCAUUUUUUGAUUUUAUAACCUAAAUAAUAAUUUGAUCAUUAAUUAAUACAUUGUUGUUAAUAUGGAUAGAUACAGGAGAGGGGAGGUGGAAUGAAAAGCCGAUCAUCAGAGGGAUCAAAAGAGAAGUAAAAGGCAGCGUUUCAAGGCGUGCACCUGACCCACCUACUGGCGUAGGCUCUACCAAACCCUAAAGACGAUCAUAUUCAUAUAAUUAUCAAAGCUUCUUAUUAUUAUUAUUACUAUUAUUAUGCUGUGACAUCGAUAUAUAUAGACUAUAGAGAAUAGCUCAGCCGCCGAAUAAAACAACCUCGAGACCACCUUCAUCUGUGCAAGUGGUCUCUAUACUGAACAUUAUUAUUAUUUUAAUAUAAAUAGAAUAAUUAAUUAAUUUUAAACAAACAUAUUCACACAAAAAAAAUUAUUUUGUUUUAAUUCUCACGCAUAUACACAUCAUCAUCACAACCAAAAUCU
rnacentral:lncRNA from 1 species